GUGAGAUCUCUUGAAGUCCUUCGAGAAGUUCCCUCUUUUCUUUGCGUAUUAUGUGCAUCUUGUUCACUUCUGUGAGAUGGGGUUUUGAUGUUACUCUCUCCUGGGUGUUCUUGAACACUUCUCUUGGCAUCUCUCGUCUCAAGCUUCAUGAGUUAUCGUUUGCUUCUUUGCGCUGCUGUAAUUGUUUAUCGCAUAGCAUGAUUGUAUCUGUUUAUGUGAAUAAGAAUGCUCGGUAUACCAAAUGAUGCUUCGAAUUCUUAUUCAUUGUUGGUUAUAUAUGGCCAACCUUUUCAAAGCUACUCCGUCGCACCACUCGUGAAUGUCGAGUCCAGUCGUCCUCGUGAGAGAUAGAUAUUUACUCAAAGUCUAACUGGGCUUUGUUUUCCUCAAACUUUUGCAGAAGUUGGUGGUGAAGGUGAAUCUACACGAUGACAGAGACAGAAGCAAGGCCAUGCAAGUAGUUUCUGGUUUUGGAGGUAUUGGCUCUCUCUCUGUCACCGCCACCCCCCCUCUUUCCUCUGUUUUUCCCCUUCAUUCUCCCACUGAAUGUUCAAAUGUCACUGUAAUAACUAAUCAUCUUGCGCUUGAAAUGUUCGGCUUUAUCACUAACCUUUCUCACAUAAUGCUUUCCAGGGAUUGGGUCUCUGUCUAUGGACUCGAAGGACAACAAACUGACGGUAUCCGGCGAUUUCGACCCUGUCAAGGUGGUGAACAAACUGAGGAAAUCUUGGCACACAGAAAUCGUGAGCGUUGGAGCAGCCAAGGAAGAUGAUGGCAAGAAAGACGAGGGCAAGAAAGACGAGGGAAAGAAAGAAGAGGGCAAGAAAGACGAUCAAGUCGCCAAUCUCGUAAAAGCCUAUGAAGCAUACUAUUCUACGCCGGUCACAUAUUACUGCGUGCCGCCAGAAGAGACUCCAAAUUGCGUCAUUUGUUGAAAUUCUUUGCGCUUCCAGACCGAAUCAGGACUUGGUUUGUGCAUCGGAGAGGAUUGAAUAAGUAAGGUUGAUUAUGCCUUACGAAGACAAGAACAACUGGAGUACCUUUUCUAGAAUUAUAGGCUUUUAUUGCGUCGUUCGCUACACGCAUGUGCGUAGGGUGUAUAUAUAUAGAGAGAGAGAGAUUGGUUUUCACUUGAGGAACUCAAGUUAUGUAAAAUCCAUUAUGUACUCCAGCAAACGAUUGUUUCUGGUGACUAGAAUAUUAUAAAUAUUAUUAUUCUGAUGAAUUAUAAUAUUCUUGAAAAGAGUACCGUCAGAUACUAAAUGUGAUCCAUGCUUAUGUUUCGUUGACUUAGUAAUUGCUUUGGCUUAUGAUAAAUUCUGAUGACUGGUUAGGUCGAGUGACUUCAGGCAAGCUGCAAACAAGCAGGUUAUACUUGCUGAAAUUACUCGAAAACUUAACCAAACCAAGAUAAGAAAAUGUGGCCUUAGACCUUGCAUGCUGAAAAUUGUUGUUGUUUUCUUGUGUUGCUUGCUUAAAUUUGAUCGCGAGUGUGAACCCCGGAUAGGUCAUUUAACUAACCAGUGCCGUUCUUAUCAAUUAAAUGAGAACAAAAAGGACAGCUCUAUUUCAUUGCAUCGUUUGGAAGUUGUUGACACCUAUUUUAAAAUUUAAUUUAUUUUUUAGAAAAUAAUAAUAUAGCAUUUGUUUGCAGAGGGAAAUUUUGAAAUUUUUUUUUUGAAUUCAAAAUAAUUCAACAGCCGGAUUUUGGAGCCAUUUCUUUGUUGAAGAGGUUGGGUGAAUAUCGCCGGAUCUUCGACAAUUUCAAGUUUUUCUUCUAUAAAAGAGAAGUCGAGGCUUCGGUUUAGGGGUUCCUCUUCGUCCAAAAAAAGUGAAAAGUGAAAGGAGGAAAAAGAGAAAAGAAGGCUUCGAUUUGUGGGAGAGGAAAAAAAAGAAAUGUUGAGAAAGAGAAGAAAGUUUCCUGUAGAAAGUACACAGGGAGCAGAAAGAGACAGGGACAGGUGAGAGAAAGAGGGUGACGUGAGAGCAGGAGAGAAAAGAAAACAAAAAAAAGCAGAGGGAAAAGAGAAGCAAAAGUUCAAUCGGCAGGGGGGAUUGGACGUUUACUGUUCAUCCUAUUCCCCCUGCACUCGCCGGAAUUUGCGGCCUGCAGACCGACGGCUCCUUUUCUGCUUCAAUCCGGCGACGCUCAAGUUCAAAACCGGAACCCGACGGAAAGCCCCCUGAUCCGCCGGCCCCUGUUGCACUGACGCUCGCCUCACAACCGCCCUGCUGCCGACGCCACCCUCGUCCGAGUACCAGCACCAACGCCGCUCCCCAUCGAGACACCACCGGCUGCCCGCGCACCUCAACCCAUGAUCUGCAUCUCAGCUCGCCGCCGGUGAAACCCCUCGCGACGCCGGACUUGCACCCGAAGCCCCGCCAACGACCCAGCGACGCCGGAGCCCCUCUGCAGAUCCCACGACGGCCCCGCUUCCGAUCAGCGCCUGCACCUGAAGUUUCCCCGCGCUGCUCUGCCUCGUGAUGCUGCAGCACCUCUGUUCGUGACCACCCCCUGCGACGCCAGCAGAUCCAGUGCCCACCGUCGCGCUACCUCUGUUCCGCCGACGAAACCGCUCCUGUACUGAUUCGAGCCACCGCCGAUUCACCUCUUCACCGCUCGCCCACCGCCGGUUCACCUUCGUCGGAGCCCCCCUGCUGGUCCGACGACGUGCUACUCCCCAGUGACCCAGAGACUCACGAGCACGUGACUAGAAGAAAAAACAAAAGAAAAAAACAAAAACAAAAGAAAAAGAGAAAAGCAAAUUAGGUAGUUUGCUUUUCUUUAUUUUAUUUAUUUUGUUAUUAUUGUUCAAUUUAGAAUAUUGAGAUGUGCUUUUCUUUUAUAAAUCUCGUAGGUAUUUACUGCAGGUACUUUAUCUCAAAUUAUGGUAAUUAUUAAUUUGACCCGUAAGACGUCAGGUCAUUUUUUUAAUUACUUUAAUUUUUAGGAAUUUUGAUAGCAUUUCAAUUGUUAAAUUGUUAUAGAGUUAAAAUAAUUGUUAAUUUAAUCCGUGAGACAACGGAUUAUUUUUUCGGUUAUUUUAAUUCUUAUCUUCAUUCUUUUAAAAUAAUGACUUGUUUGGAAAGAUUAAAAAAUAAAAAAUAAAAAAAUCAGAAAAUACAUAAAAAUCUAAAUAUUGCAUUAGAGCAUUUAGAUUUUGCAAAUUAGGACUGUAUUUUUAGGGUUAGUAAAAUUAGAAUUGCAUUUAUAGGAUUAUAAUUUUUAGAUUAUACUUUUAGAUGGGUAAUUUUUGUUAGGACUAAUUUUAAAUAAUGUUGGCAUGUCUUAUUUUUUUUAUAUAUAGCUUCUAAGAUAAGAUAUAGUUUAAGUUAAUUGUUUCCUAAAAUAAAUUAGAAUAUCAUUCACUUUAGUUAGUCUAAUUAGUUUUUUUUUUUAAUUCCAAACUUCAAUAAAAAGAAUCCAAAAAUAUUAGGUACAUAUUAAUUAACUUGCGUACUAGGUUUAAUUAGAAUAUUGUCAUAUCUAGAACUUAGGGAUUUAGGUCCAUACACAUUGCAUGCCAUAUAAGUUAUAGUUUAAUUGUUUUUUUAAUAAAAAAGAAAAUGCUAAAAGAUGAACAUUGCAUCAUUUAUAUUAAAAAAAAAGAUAAUUUCCUUGGUUAGUUAAUAUGUUAAUUCAUAAUUAAUCUCAUAUCAUCAUUAUUUAGCAUAUGUUGCAUAUAUGCAUUAAAAACAAAUCAUCAUUAAAAUAAAAUCAUAAAAGAGCAUGCAUGUAAAAAUACCAUGUCAUUCAUCCCAUAUCACGUAGCACAUGCAUAUUUAGAAUUAUAUAAAUUAGAUUGCAUACAUAUAGUGAUAAGUUUAAGUCAUACCAUAUGAAUUGCAUCUCACAUAUCAUUAAAGUAAAAUCCAUGCAUAUUAAAUUUAGAUUAAGAUUGCAUAUAAUUAAAAUUUAAAAAAAGAAAAGAAAAAUUAGGUGUCAUGUCAUUUAGAAAUCAUGUUUAGGGCAUGCAUUUUUAUUAGCAUUUUUUUAUUAUUGAAUGUUAUUUUAUUGAUUGUGCACUCGUAUGACCACCAUUUGCAUAUUAGUAGCUUAAGUUAAAAUUAAUCAACAUUGCCUGCAAAAUAUUUUUGAAAUUAAAAUAAAAGGUACCGAAAGGGCGUUAGACUAAUCUAGCGUAAUCAUGUCCCCGGACUUAUUGAAUCUCUGGUUCGUAAAAAUAAAGUAUUCUCUCAUACUUUAUUUGGGUUUCUAAUCAACCCUAAUUGAUUAGUGGCGACUCCAAAUUGAAUAGAAUUGCAUGUUUAAAUAGAUUAAUUUCUAUUAAGUCGCGAUUGGUAGGACUUGGGAGGGUCCGUGCCAAGUCUUCAGACUUAGUAAUCCAUUAACCUAGUUUUAGGUGGUGAACACCAUGAAAAAAUUAGGUCGCGACAAAAGUAUUUGAUGGCGUCGCUACAACCCUCAUCAAUGAUUACCGAUAUAUUUCCCUAUAAGUUGAAGGAAAAAGGGAGCUUUUAUGACCAUUAUUUGCGGACUUGAUGGGCCUGCCACAGGACCGAGGAUGGGUCGGUGCUCUUUUGUUCAUCUUUGAAGACAUGAUAUAUACUCAUAAAUCAUACCAUCCUAGUUAAUAAACUUUAUAAUGGCGAUCAUUCUCACUCAAUCUUCUCCAAGUCAAUAGUAAUGGAUUUCAUUAAUGAGAGUCAUAUGUCACAUGCUGGUUGAUCUAGCAUUCUCUUACCCGUAUGGCUUUAGAAAUUUUUUUCCAAGCCAACAUAGUUCACACACUCACAAAGAUGGUGGAGAGAAAUUCUUUUGUAGAGAGAAUCUCUGAAAUUUAAAUAUUUGUAAGAUGAUCCAAACAAAAGGAGGAGACCUUUAGAGUGUCAAAAUUUGACACAGAAUGAUACUUAAGCGUUAAAAAUUAGGAAAGUGACAUUUAUGUACAAAAAUCGAAGCAAAAUGGAUCAUUUAAGUGCCAAUGACAAAAAAAUCCGACCAAAAUGCUAACAAGAUGAUUUUCCAGUGAGGCAAAUGCAAAACGACACGUUGCACAUGUUGAUGUGGCUAGACAAGUGUAAAAACGAUAUCGUUUUGCUAUUGAUGUGAGUAAAUAAUUAAUAUAAAAAUUAAUCAAAUUAAAUUUAAAACUAAAUUUAUUUAUUUAUUUUUUUUUAAAUGGAGAUUACAGGUGCCAAGAGCUCGCGAGCCCUCGCCCAGAUCUGGGGUGAGGGUUGCCCCUAGAUCUGGCGAGGGUCGGCGGCCUUUGGCCCGGCUGCACGAGGGCUACCAACCCUCGUUGGAUUUGGGGGAGGGCUCGCGAGCCCUCGCCUUAGGUCAGUUGGGGUCGCCGGCCCCUUGCCAAGGGCUGGUGACCCCGGCGACCUUGGCCAACCCUACCCACAUGGUCAUUGACCCUUCUUGGCGAUAGUAAAGAGGCAACGGCGACGAGGGCUGAGCUCUUAGCUGCAUGCUUCCUUCUGUUAGAGAAAACUUCCUUGCGUGUUUUGAAGCUGACAAAACGUUUCCAUCAGUCUAGUCUGAAAACUUGCAGACUCUUUAGUCAAAGUCUGAAGAACGCCGGACCGCCAGACUCAAGAUUCAAAGUCUAUCUUUAUUGACAGUUUCUAGACCGUCGAAGAAGACUUAUCUAGAAUUGGGUAUUUCGUUAAGGAUUUGAUUCUAUCGACUGAAGAAGAUUUCUCGGCUGAAUAUAGCAUCUUGGAAUCUAUUAUUCAUUUUGAUUUCAAUUCGGGUAAUUUAGAUCCGUUGAUUGAUGAAGCAUACUUGGAAGGUUCUACUUAUGAAAACUUAGAUCCUGAUUAUGGGCGAGCAUGAUUGAUGGGCUAUCGUCAUAUUUCUUAAAUAACUCGAGAUCUUCCUAAUUGAUUCUGUUCAACGGGUAGAUUGGAAGAGCUCCUUUGGUAAAUGCCAACGGGUAUGAAGGCAUGGAGGAGUAUACAAGGAAGACGUUCUAGUUAUUCAAGUGUGUGCGCGAUAGAAGAAUUCCAAAGUCUGAAACUUCUUGUUCUUUGUCAAUUCAAUUGUUGAGCGAAAACUUGUACUCAAAAGAGUGUUUAUACUUCUGUGAGACCUUGAGGAAGUGUAGCAGAGUCUCUGCACGGUGGAAUCAAGGAAGAGCUAUACUGUAACAACUCUUUUGAUUCUUAGUGAAAUCUAGUCAGUGGGCUGUCAGUGUAGAAGAGUGGACGUAUGCUUGGAUUAAGUCGAACCACUAUAAACAUUGUGUUCUUAUUCUCUUCCCUAAGCUCUUUUACUUUGAUCGUAAAUCUAUUUGAUUAUUAGAGUCUAAUUUCCUUUUCAAAUCUAUUGCUAAAUAGAGUUGGUUUAAAAGUAAAAUUAUAUACUUUACUCUGCAAAUUUUAUUUUCGCACCUAUUCACCCCCUCUAGGUGCUCGUACUAGCCUUCACAAUUGGUAUCAGAGCAUGUGUACUCAUUUAAGUUGAAGUGUUUUUUACUUUAGAGUUAACGAUCCAUGGCUAGUAUGUUGGCUCCAGGUCUGGUUGAAGGGCAAAGUAAUACCAGACUGCCUUAUUUUGAUGGAAAAGAAUACAGCAUAUGGAAAAACAAGAUGAAUGCAUUCUUAAGAUCAAAAGAUCCUCUGGAAUGAGACGUGGUAGACAAAAGAAUCAUUCCUAAAGCUGCAACAGUCUCAGAAAGGGGAAAAGAAGCUAUUGAGUCUAGUGAAAUGACUCAAGAAGAGAUAACCAAGAGACAAGCUCUUGAUGCAAAAAUAAUUUAUUCCUUAUAUUGUGCAUUAUCUCCUACUGAAUAUAACAUAAUAUAUUCUUGUGAAAUAGCUAAAGAAGUCUGGGAUAGAUUGCACAUCACCUACGAAGGAACCGAUCGAGUGAAAGAAACCAGAAUCAAUAUUCUGCUCGGUCAAUAUGAAGCAUUCAAGAUGAAACCAGGAGAAUCAAUCACUGACAUAUUUAGUCGUUUUACAGAAAUCGUGAAUGGUCUUGAGUACCAAGGUCAACCAAUAUCUGGACCCAUGAAUGUUAACAAGUUACUGCGUGGACUUUUUCAAAGAUUGGAAUCACAUAAAGACCUCAAUAAGGGAGACACAAAGAAUCAUGCCACUCUUUGUUGACGAAUUGGUUGGCACUCUUCAAUCUUAUGAAGUGGAGCAAAUCAACGAAGAUGAAGAUCUCAAAGGUAAGAAAUCCAUUGCAUUAAAAUCUAAUGAUGAUUCUGAUGUCACAGAUUCUGAAGACGAUAUGGACGAUGGAGAGCUUGCUCUCGUAAUAAGAAGGUUCAGAAAAUUGAAUAGAAAUGGAAGAAGAUUCAAUCCGAAGAAACAAAGUUCUCAAAAGCUACAAAAUAAAUCAGAUGAGGAUGAUGAAUCCAACAAGGAUGUAAUCUGCUUUAAAUGCAAGAAAAAUGGACACAUCAAACCUAACUGUUUCCUGCUGAAGAGAAAGAAAGGAAAGGCUAAGAAAUAUAAAAAAACACUUAAAGCAGAAACUUGGAGUGAUACCGAGUGUGAAGAAAGUGAUGAUGAUUAUGCUAAUAUUUGUCUCAUGGCACACUCAGAAUCAAAUUCAGACUCUGAGACAAACUCAAACUCAUACAAUGAAAUCGAGGUAAGUAAUUUAAAAAUUCUUAAUAAAGUCUCUAAAUAUAUUGAUGAAUUGUGUCUUAAUUUCAAAAUAUCUCUUAAGAGGUUUUUCGAACUUAAAAGGGAAAAUUCUGCACUGAAGCAACGGGAGAUUGUUUGGAAAGAAAAGGUUGAAAGUUUAGAUAAAAGUGUUAUUACUUAGAAAGAAAAUGCAGACAAUCUUUAAAAAAAAAAAUGCAUUUUUUAAAAAUGAUAUCUCAAGUAUUUCUAAAAGGUUUUCUAUAGGAUCUGAGAAAUUAGAAAAGAUUCUUUUAGCGCAAAGAUCUUACUUCAACAAAUCAGGUUUGGGAAUGACUGCUGAAACCAUUCAUUUAAUUGAUUUUCCUAAGGUAAAGGAAAGAAUUAAACAAAGACCUACAAAAGAUUCUUACAAAAAUCAUUUCCAAAUUUUUUUUGUAAAACCUGUAGACCGUAGUACUUUUAAAUGUUCUAAGUGUAACAGCUUAGAACAUUUUGAGAAAUAAUGUCUCAUGGUUUGGAAACCUGUUAAAAAGGUUUGGGCAAAAAUUGUAUAUCACACUAACUCCAUUGGACCCAAAAAAGUAUGGAUACUAAAAAAAACUUGAGUUUCUUAUUUAAAAGCAGGUCACUAUCAAGAAAAAUGUUAAAUGGUACUUGGAUAGUGGAUGCUCAAAACAUAUGAAGGAGACUCAAAUUGUUUCAUAAAGCUUGUGCAAGUUAAUGGUGGAAAAGUUUCUUUUGGAGGAAAUAGCAAAGGCAAACUUGUGGGAUACAGAACUGUAAAGAUUGAAAGUCUCACGAUCAGUAACAUUUCAUUAGUAGAACGACUCAACUACAACUUGCUAAGUAUCAGCCAGCUGUGCGACACCGGUUUCAAAAUCAAAUUUCAAGAAGGAAUAUGUUCAGGAACCAGUAAAGACUUCUCUCAGACUUUCACAGGGCAAAGACAUGGGAAUAUAUAUCUCUUGAUAUCAAACCAGAAAAAUCUCAAUGUCUAAUCUCAAUUCAAGAGGAAGCGAAUCUAUGGCACAGAAAACUUAGACACAUCAACAUGAAGCAAAUAGACAAAAUCUCAGCAAAGAAGUUUGUUCGUGGACUAUCCAAUUUGACAUACCAAAAGUCUGAUCUAUGCACAUCAUGUGUAUUGGGAAAAUAUGUAAGAAAUUCUUUCAAACCAAUAAAUCAAGUGUCCACUAAUCGUGUACUACAACUCUUGCAUAUGGAUCUCUUUGGACCAACCAGAACUCAGAGCAUUAGAGGUAAUAAAUAUUGCUAGUAAUUGUGGAUGAUUAUUGACGAUUCACUUGGGUAUAUUUCUUGGCAAGUAAGUUUGAAACCUUUUCUUAUUUUAUAAACUUUGCUAAGAAAAUUCAAAAUUCAAAAUGUAUGUUAUUUCAAGUAUACGGAUAGAUCAUGGAGGUGAGUUUGAAAAUCAAGACUUUGCUAAAUUCUGUGAUGAAUUUGGUUUUCAGCAUGUAUUCUCCUCACCAUACACUCUAGAGCAUAAUGGAGUUGUGGAAAGGAAGAAUGAUCACCGUAGGAAAUGGCUAGAACUCUUUUAAUUGAAAGUAACAUUUCUUAUUGUUUUUGGGCUAAAGCAGUUUCUACAGUGUGCUAUAUUAUUAAUAGAGUCUUCUUAAGGCCUAUUCUACAGAAAACUCCCCAUGAGUUGUUUAAAGGAAAGAAGCCAAUUGUUUCCUAUUUUUAUGUGUUUGGAUGCAAAUUUUUUAUAUUGAAAAAUGCAAAUGAUCAAAUUGGUAAGUUUGAAGAAAAAUCAGACAAAUGUAUCUUCCUUGGAUAUUCAACAAAAAACAAAGCCUACAGAGUACACAACAAAAAGACUCAAUCUGUGGAGGAAUCGAUUAAUGUCAAAUUUCAAGACUUUAUGCAGAAUCAAUCGAUUCAGACUCAACCUGAAGAAUCUGAACCUGCUCAAGACUCUACAAAGUCUAAAUCUUUAGAAGCAGCUCAAACUUCAGAAGACCAGCAAUGAAUGAUCAUUGAAGAUUCAAAUGAAGAAAAAGACCAUCAGUCUGACAAAUCAACCAACAACUGGAAACACAAGUCUAGUCAUCCCAAGGAACUCAUUAUUGGUGAUAUUGAUGAAAGAAUUCGUACAAGAUCCAAAAUGCGUGAAGAGUCUAGUGCUGUGGCUCUUAUUUCUGAAAUAGAACCCAAGAGCAUAGAAGAAGCUUUAAUUGAUGAAAGCUGGAUUGAAGCUAUGCAAGAACUUAGGUAAUUUAGUAUCAAUGAUGUAUGGGAAUUAACUCCUCAACUGAAAGGUAAAUCUAUCAUUGGAGCUAAAUGGGUUUUCAGGAACAAGAUGAACGAGAAAGGAAAAUUUGUAAGGAACAAAGCAAGACCCGUGGCCAAAGUAUAUACUCAAGAAGAAGGGAUAGACUAUGAUGAGACUUACACACCAGUAACAAAGUUAGAAGUAAUUAGAUUAUUACUUGUUUUUACUUGUUAUAAGAAUUUCAGGUUAUUCCAAAUGGACGUCGAAAGUGCUUUCUUAAAUGGAUUUAUCCAAGAAGAAGUCUAUGCGGAACAACCUCUCAGUUUUGAAGACCUAAGGAAACUAGACUCUGUAUUCAGACUGAAAAAAGGCUCUAUAUGGUUUAAAGCAAGCAUCCCGAACUUGGUACGAUAGGUUAAGUAAAUUUUUAAUUCAAAAUAGCUUUGUUAAAGGUAAAGUAGAUACUACACUGUUUAUCAAAAGAGAAAGCAAAUUUUUUUUACUUGUUCAAAUUUAUCUUGAUGAUAUUAUUUUUAGAUCUCCUAAUGAAAAUUUAUGCAAGAAAUUUUCUAAGUCUAUGUAGGAUGAAUUUGAAAUGAGCAUGAUGGGAGAACUAACCUUCUUUCUGGGGCUUCAAGUGAAACAAUUGAAUGAAUGAAUUUUCAUUUGCCAAGAAAAUAUGCUAAAGAACUUGUUAAAAAGUUUGGUUUAGAGAAUUGUAAAAAGACAGAUAUAUCAAUGUCAAGUUUCUCGAAGCUAGACAAAGAUGAAGGAGGAAAGAAAGUUGACCAGAAGCUAUACAGGAGUAUCAUUGGUUCACUUCUUUAUCUUACUACUUUUAGACCUGAUAUUCUGUUUAGUGUUUGUAUUUGUGCUAGAUUUCAAUCAAUCCCUAAAGAAUCUCAUUUGAGUGUUGCUAAACGUAUCAUCAAAUAUGUUACUUCAACCGCUAAUUUCGGUAUCUGGUAUCCUAAAGAAUGAGACUUUACUCUUAUUGGAUAUUCAGACGCAGAUCUAGUAGGAUGCAGAGUCGAUAGAAAGAUCAUCUUGGGCACCUGUCAAUUACUUGGGAACAUGACGGUAUCUUGAUUUUUGAGGAAGUAAAGUACUGUAGCUCUUUCUACAGCAGAAACAGAAUAUGUGGUUCUUGGAAGUUGUUGUUCACAAAUUUUGUGGAUAAAACAACAGUUAAGAGACUUUGGAAUUGAAGAUUCGUGCACUGAAAUCAAAUGUGACAACACUAGCGUGAUUAACCUCACCAAGAAUCCAAUUCUUCAUUCAAGAGCAAAGCAUAUAGAGAUUCGAUAUCAUUUUAUUAGAGAUCAUGUUCAAAAUGGAGAAAUCUCGAUUCAAUUCAUUGACUCAAAGAAUCAACUAGCGGACAUCUUCACAAAGCCUUUGGAGAAAAGUCAAUUCGAGCUUAUUCGUUCCAGACUUAAUAACUUAAAGUCUGAAGAAGUUCAGACUUAGGGAUAAAAGUCUAAUGAAUACUCAGACUCAGAAGAUCAAGAUUUAUGACUGUAAGUUAUUCUUGUUUUUGGAAAUUUAUUUCAUAGAUAAAAUCUCGAAAAUGUACGAUUAUCUAUUAAUCUGUAAUUGAUUGAUGUUAUCUUCCCCAGCUUUCGUGAUUAUUGCAAUUAUUCCUUUUCGAAAAAGGAGUUAUUUUUGAAAAGACGGUAAUCUUUUUUCAAAAAAGGCAGUUAUUUUUUGAAAAGGCAUUUUAUAUUUUUCCUUUUACGUUGUUCCGUAUGCCUCUUUUCGAUUGCUUUAUAUACUGAUUGUCUUCCUCACAAACCCUAAAAAGCACAGAACUUCGUUUUCUUACUUUUACUCUCUAGUUUAAUCUUCAAAGUUCUCACCUUUUUCGCGAAUCAAGUUUGGAAUCUCUCAAAGACUGUGAGAAUGGCGUCCCAAAGAAAGUCUUUAAGGAUCACGGACAGGGGACCACAACACAUGCGUGAGGUCCUACACAUUUUGACCUUACUGAGGAAGAAGAAUCCCCAAGACAGUAGCAGAGCCCACAACAUUCUCAACCGCGUCAAUCUCCUCAAGCUAGACCUCAAGGUAGUGAUCAUAGAGCGGAGGAAGAAAUCAUUGAAGGCGUAGAACCCGUAAGAUCUCAUAAGCCCGGUUUUUAUCUUUAAGCUUUACUCUGCUUUGAAGAGAGGAGUCACUCCCUUGAAAUAUAUUGAUGAAUUUUUGAAAGAGAAAAGGGUAUUGAAAUGAAACCCACUUUUUGCGAAUAAUGGAACAAUUGGAAAUUGCUUUUGCGGGAUUGGCAGAUCGAGCAUUUGUGAAUAUUCCUAGUGAUCCACAUGUUGGAGGUCUUAGUCAGCCUGAUGGGAAUGAUUAUGACAAAAUGUACACUCAUUUCAAGCCUAGAAUGGGUGUUGGGGCAAAUAUUCAAAGCAAAAGGACAGAUUUGUUUCGCUCAGAGGAACACAAGCGACUUUACUCCAAGUUGCUAAAAAGAGGAGUGAUCAAUCCAAGAAGUGUAGACUUUGAUUUUCUUGAUUCUUUGAAUGUGAAGCUACGAGAGAAAUUCACUCAACUUCAGCUUGAGCGAUUUUGUUUUGAGAUGACAGAGGCAUAUCCAAAACUUACUACUUACUUCUAUUCUAAUAUAAGUUUCUUGGAUGCGAAUAGAUUUUCGUUUAGUGUUCGAGACCAGGAUUAUAUCGUUGACAUGGACACAUUAGCAGAUGUGAUUGGAGUAGAGCGAGGGGCAUUCCAAUCGAUUAGCGUGUCUGUUGGUCGUGCGACAGUGGAGCUUGUUCGGGAUGGAAUGGCUGAAGGAAGAAUUCCGUACUUGAGGAUGAAUGCCUCUAACAUUUUGCUUCACAAGAUCGUGAUCAAUUGCCUCAGACCCAAGUCAAUCUUGAAGACUGACGUCUCUAACUCAGCAGCAAAGUUGAUGUAUGCCAUCAACGUUGGCAAGAAGUUCUCUUAACCUCACACAAUCAUGUUUCACAUGUAAGAACGAUGGCGAAAGAUAGAGGGCAAUUUCCGUACUCAGCGCUUGUUACAAAGCUUUUAAGAUGUUUUGAUAUUCAACCUCCCAGGAUUUUAUGGUGGUGGGACUGAAAAUAGUUUCCAAAAUGCGUCUGAAAGAGCUGGACAAAGCUUUGGAGCGAUUGAAGGAGAAAAUCCCGGUCAAGACUCACCAAGGUCCUUUAGUUGCAAAACGGAAAGGGAAGGAGCCCAUGAUAGCUCCAUUCAAGAAAAGAAGAGCACUAGUCUUGGAGGAUGAAGAGGAUGAGGACGAUAUUACCAUUUCCGCUCUUGCAUUGAGAAAUCUACAAAGUGCUGCUCCAGAGACUGAGGAGAGAGAGGAUCAAGGUAGAGACGAAGAAGAGGAAAGGAGUGGAGAGAGAGAAAUAAUGCAAAAAGAAGUAGAGGAGGAAAGGAUUGCAUAAGAAGAAGAAGGCAAAUGUGAACAGGAGGAAACAUAGCAUGAAGAGUACUUCUCACCUCCUGAGGGAAUUGAAACAUGGGGAGUUGUUGAGAAAAGAGGUACAUCUUCAAUUGCUGUUACUAGUGAAGGUGUUAGUCGUUCACCUGCAGAUCCAGAAAACAUCUGUGCCUCUCAAUUCCCUAAGGAAGGUCAUGAGGUUUCAUCGCAAAAUUUGAGUGAUCAUGCUGGCUUGCCAUCAUCUAUCAAUACACCUACUGAUCGUGCAAAAGCUAGCACUCAGACUAAUAAUUCAGCAGACUUUCAUAGAGUACUUGAUGUUUUUAUGGAGAUACGAGGCCAAAUUUAUGCUUUGGGAUGCGAAGUUCAGAACUUGCAGAAUGUAGGUCAAGCCUCUUCAGUUUUCUUGCAUGAUCAAAUUUAUGCCCUUGCUCUUCAAGUUUAAGCAAUUGCCAAGGGUGAAGAUGUUGCUCAACUGAAGGAAGGUUUGAAAAAGCUGGAAGGGAUUGUCCAGUCAAUGUGAGAUUUCUAGCUUAUUCGCGUACCUAGGAAAUCAUAAUUUCAUUCUCUUUUUCUCUACCUUUUUAAUGCUGACAAAAAUGGGGAGAGAUGUUGCAAAUUUGAGAUUUAACUCUUGACUUUUUGAUUGACUUUACUUUUGUUUGGCUGUUUGGUUGUGAUUGGAUUUGGAUUUAGAUUGUUUGAUCGUUUGUUUUAAGCAUUAUUGGUAUUUCAUGGCAAAUAUAGUUGUUUAUUUACAGGACUAACUUAUUUCCUGUGGAUGCGGAUCUAAUGCUAUCUUUACUAAGUCAAUUAUCUUUUGUGAGAUAUCCAUGUUCGCUUGAGUAUUGUUUUGCAGGUCAAAGAUAUCCAAAUCUGUGAGAAAGUUUUAUCACCAUUAAAAAUGGGGAGAUUGUUGGAGAAAACUUCUUUGCGUGUUUUGAAGCUGACAAAAUGUUUUCAUCAGUCUAGUCUGAAGACUUGCAGACUCUUUAGUCAAAGUCUGAAGACCGCCGGACCGCCAGACUCAAGAUUCAAAGUUUAUCCUCAUUGACAGUUUCUAGACCAUCAAAGAAGACUUAUCCAGAACUGCGUAUUUCGUUAAGGAUUUGAUCCUAUUGACCGAGGAAGAAUUCUCAGCUGGAUAUAGCAUCUUGGAAUCUAUUAUUCGUUUUGAUUUCAAUUCGAGUAAUUUAGAUCCGUUGAUUGACGAAUCAUACUUGGAAGGUUCUACUUAUGAAAACUUAGAUCCUGAUUGUAUAGGCGAGCAUGAUUAAUGGGCUAUCAUCAUAUUCCUUAAAUAACUUAGGAUCUUCCUAAUUGAUUCUGUCCAACGGAUAGAUUGGAAGAGCUCAUUUGGUAAGUGCUAACGGGUAUGAAGGCAUGGAGGAGUAUAUAAGGAAGACGUUCCAGUUAUUCAAGUGUGUGCAAGAUAGAAGAAUUCCAAAGUCUGAAGCUUCUUAUUCUUUGUCAAUUCAAUUGUUAGGUGAAAACUUGUACUCAAAAUAGUAUUUAUACUUCUGUAAGACCUUGAGGAAGUGUAGUAGAGUCUCUACACUGUGGAAUCAAGGAAGAGCUAUAUUGUAACAACUCUUUCGAUUCUUAGUGAAAUCCAAUCGGUGGGCUGUCAGUGCGGAAGAGUGGAUGUAGGCUUGGAUUAAGCCGAACCACUAUAAACCUUGUGUUCUUAUUUUAUUCCCUAAGUUCUUUUACUUUGAUCGUAAAUCUAUUUGAUUAUUAGAGUCUAAUUUCCUUUUCAUAAUCUAUUGCUAAACAAAGUUGGUUUAAAAGCAAAAUUAUAUACUUUACCCUGCAAAAUUUAUUUUCGCACCUAUUCACUCCCUCCAGGUGCUCGUACUAGCCUUCACACCUUCCUCCUCCUACAUAUAUGCUUUUAAUUAAUUUUUACAUUAAAAUUCAAAUCCGCACCAAAAUGACGUCAUUUUUGCAUUUUUUUUCUGAGUCAACUUUUCGGCGAGUCACAUAAGGGAGCAAAAAUAAUGAAAAAUUGCCAUAUAAGAUUUCCGGCGAAAUUCAUCGAAGGUGGCACUUAAGUGCCUCACUUUAAAAAAAAAAAAAGUGACACUUAAGUGUCACUUUCCUAAUUUUUAAUAUUUAAGUAUCACAUUGUGCCAAGUUUUGGCACUUAGGCUAUACUAAGUACUCUUUAGAUUACAACCAUAGAUGUCUCAUCAAUCUAAUAGUGGAAAUUCUGUCUUCCUAUAUGCCAAUCUAUGCAUUUAUUAUAGGAACACUUUGGAGUAAUGUACAUUUACAAUAUUACUCGUCCUAGGGAUAUUCUUAGGAAUACUAGAGAGGAUUGCUUGAUCUUCUAGGAUCAUUCUCGGUCCUUUGUACACGGGAAUCCUUUGGACCAUGAUAUUCUCCUCCACCUAAUAGGGUGACACCCUUGUUGCAUUUUUGGCAUAGAAUGCAUCGGAUUUGCUUUUUGAAUUGCCAAAGAGCUUCCACAAGUUCUUGACUAGCUUUACUCUCGGGUAGACCCUCUCAUAGUAUCAAAAAUUCUCACUUCAACACACAAUGCCUCUUUCAUCUGACUCAAUCUAUCAUGACAAAAUUGACAUCAUGAUCAUACAAGGUUUUUGUCCAAGAGGUAACCGCUGUAACUCUCCUUGAUUUGGAUCUUCUUCAUCUACGUCAAAAAGGUUUAAGCAUACUCACAUGUAACAUCAAAUGUACCUUAAGUUUAAGCUAGAGCUACAAUAAAAUGCUAUCUUCUCGACUCGUUGCAACACUCAAAGUGGCCCUUCAUAGUGACAGAUCAAUGCCCUAUGCACGUAUUGGUAUCGAAGAACAAAGUGUAGUUUUGCCAACACUAGGUGCUCGACUUGGUACUCCAUGUGCUGUUGCUUUUUUGUCAGGCCCUUUCUUAAAUGCUUUGAGGCCAUGUGUAGACAAGUUCUUACCAAAUCACUUGUUCCUGCCACUUCUUAGCUAACUCGUAAGCCACUGGGCUACUUCGUCAAUAGUCCGUUGCAACCAUUCUUAGAGUGAGUGGUUGCUGCAUUGUCAUGAUCUUGAAAGAACUUUGUUUAAUAGACUGGCUUUGCUGUAGCUUAUAGGAUAAUUGGGCUACGUCGAUCAACUUCACACAAUCCAAUAGCACAUUCAUCCUCUCCGUUUGACCAACGAUUGAGGGAUGUAGACUUGUGGAAAAGUUGAGGCUUCAACUCAGCAACUUAAAGAGUUGGUCUAGAAUCUCAGAGUGAAUCGAGGAUUGUGGUCGCUGAUAAUCGUCUACGUUAUGCCCUAAUAUUGAUGAUGUGCUUUAGGAUUAGCCAAGCUACCUCCUCAAUUGGGAAGUCCUUUAUCGCUAGAAUAAAUAUUGUGUACUUAACGAAUUGAUCCACCACGACCAUGAGAAUCCAAUACUCUUUAAACUUACUUGCCUUGUUGGCAAACAAGACAUGUCCUCACACAAGCAUCUACAUCGUCAUGUAGGUGUGGCGAAAUGUAAUGAUCCUCCACAAGUGACAUGAAGCAGUGGAUUCCUAGAUAAACUGCCCACUUGGAAUUGUGGUACUCGCUUAGCAUCUCCUACCGUAGCUUCCCAUGAAGCAGCAUGUACAAUCGUCAUCCCUUGGUAUAGAGUAGAUCACCCGCAUAUCAGAAUUGUUGAGUCUUGCCCUCGUUUGUUGGGUCGUGUCAUAGCCCCUCCUUCAUGCGCUCGGUUUAUGGACAUUCAGGUUGAUUGAUGGCUGCCAACUCCAUCUUUCAAUUAAGUGCAUCGGUCACAGAAUUGGGCUUUUAAGUCAUGUACUAUAGCACGUGGCUGAGCUCUGCAAGGAAGUCUUGCCUAAGAGCUUGCUUUAAAAUCAGUUUUUUUUUUUUUUUUUUGGGGUUUACAAGUAGCUCAUGGUGACAUUGUCAAUGUUUGCCGUGAACCACAAUCCCAAGAGAUGAUGUUACCAUGUGCAAAUGUAGUACACCACCACCAUCAUUGCCUUCUCUUGGACCAUGAACCAUCCUUCAGUCUCAUUCAGCCUCCUUAAUUCAAAUGCCAUUGGGUGUUCUUCUUGCAUUAGAGCACCACCAAUAGCAUAAUUGAAGACGUCAAUCUCUACCUUAUAGGGCUUUGAGUGGUUGGGCCGUACAAGCAUUGGUUCUUUGGUCAUAAUUUUCUUUAGCCAAUCCAACACCUUUUGAUAUUGCGCCUUGCCGAUCAUGGGUGAGGCUGGCAACAGAUUGGAGGAAGAAGGAAGGGAAGGGAAGUAUAAACAAGAGGAAGAAAAUGGAGGAUUGGGCAUUUUAAGACUUUUUGUUAAAAAUAAGUGAUUUAGAAUAUAUUUUUCUAUGAGCAAUCACUUAAAAAGUUUUUAUUAUCGACAACAAUUUAUGUUGGAACUUUUUCAUGAAUGAUGAAAACACUAUUUCCUUCAUUCAUAUCUAUAAACGAUACGCACGAUACUUCCAUUCGUAAAAAAUGAAUGAUCGAAGAGUAUUUUCAUUAUCCACGAAAACGUUUAGAAUUAUUGUCGAUAACGAAAAUACUUUUAUUAAUUGAUCAUUUUAAACGAUACAAAUUAUUAUCUUUUAAGAAAACGUUUUUCAAAAUCAUGUAUAUUUCAUGGGAGACGGACGGGCCCAAGGUUCAGCGAGAGAGAGAUGUCGAAGAAAGCGGGCCACCCUUAUACAAUCAGCUUGAAGCUUGGAUCGUUCGAUCUGCUAAAACGCGGUUUAUCAUGGCCCUUAUUUUUAUCAUCGCUAAAUAUGAACCAUCGACGCCAGGAGUUCUGCCUGAUGUGAUCGGACUAUAUUUAAAUUAUAAUUCAUUGACCUAGACUUAGACUUAACGUCCACGUCAAGGAACAUAAAAAUCCAAAAAAAGAAUAAUAAAAUAAUAAAAAAAGAAGAAGAAAAAGACAGGGCCCUAAUCAUAGACGAUGGAGAGGACGACGUUUCGAGACAGAUCCCGGGCAUGAAACGUGUGUUUUCCUGGAGAUUUCAUAUUGCUUUUUCGAUCUUUCGCAAUUUACUGCCGAAGAAAAAGCUCUUUUGCGCGAGCAAAGAUGUCAAAAGAUCGUAGCCCAGUGGUGGCAAUUUCACAGAGAUGAUGCAUAGAGAUAUGUCAGCUUCCAUUCUGGUUAUCGUUCGUCUUUUAUCCCGAACUAAUCUCUUUCUCCCGUUAUUCGAUUAUCCUGUGCUGAAACAUUCGGUACUUAUAAUAAAAGUUAGGGCCGAAUUAUAUCUUAUGUUUAGUUCUUGCCCAAAUAGAAUAAAGUCGAAUAUAAAAUCUUAGGUUAUAUUAGGCAUUUUUUUCCUAUUUUUAUUUACAUAUUUGAAUUUGUUUCUACUCUAUAAUAAUAUCUAAUUUGUAUAUAUAUAUAUAUAUAUAUAUAUAUAUAUAUAUAUAUUAUAAUCUAUAUUAUUACAUACUUUAGGAAUAAUAAUAUAGUUUAUUAUUUGAUAAAAUUAAGGAAUCAUGGAAGGAAUUAAAAAAAAAAAAAAAAAAUCGCGAUCCUCUGUUUUCCAUCGUCUCGACUCGUUAAUUUGUCUGAGAACCCGUGUGGUCUCCCAAAUCUGUGCUGGUCAAUAAUUUGUCCCUUUCGUUUCUCCGCAUCGCGUCCUCCAAGAAACUUCUUGCUUUUCGCCCACUCCCCAGUCCCCUCAUGCUUGCCGCUCUAUAUAAAGCAACCCCUUUUGUCUACUACGAAUAUGUGCACACGCUCAGUUUUUACUUUGCUCUGAGUGUCCUUCGAGUGUUUAUAGUUUCCAAAUCAAAAGUUAAAGCAGAUACCAAUCUCAGUCUUUGAAACCCAAGAGACAUGAAGGUGAGAUUCCUUUUGUCCUUAAAGAAGUUGUCUUUUUGGCAUGGUGUGUAUUUAUGCACUCCUGUGAGAUGGGGUUUUUUAUGGUAUUCUCUCCUGCGCUUUCUUGAACACUUUUCUUGGCAUCUCUUCAUGAGUCAUCGUUUGUUUCUUUGCUGCUGUAAUUGUUUAUCGCAUAGCAUGAUUGUAUCCGUUUAUGUGAGUAGUAAUGCUCGGAAUAUCAAAUGAUGCUUCGAAUUCUUAUCUUGUUUAAACGCUGGUCUUAUCACACCACUUGUGAAUGUCGAGCUCAGUCGUCACCUUAAGAGAUUGAUAUUUACUCAAAAUCUAACUGGGUUUUGCCUUGCUCAAACUUUUGCAGAAGUUGGUGGUGAAAGUGGACUUACAUGAUGACAGAGACAGGAGCAAGGCCAUGCGAGUAGUUUCUGGUUUUGGAGGUAUUGGCUCUCUCUUUCCCUCUCUGGUUUUUUUCCUUCAUUCUCCCAUAGAAUGUUCAAAUCGCCGCUGUAAUAACUUAUCAGAAAUGUUCGGCUUUUUCAUUGGCCUUUGUCGCAUUGUGUUUUCCAGGGAUUGGGUCUCUGGCUAUGGAAUCGAAGGACAACAAACUAACAGUAUCGGGCGAUUUUGACCCGGUCAAGGUAGUGAACAAACUGAGGAAAUCUUGGUACACAGAAAUCGUGAGCGUUGGAGCAGCCAAGGAAGAUGAUGGCAAGAAAGACGAGGGAAAGAAAGAGGAGGGCAAGAAGGACGAUCAAGUCGCCAAUCUCGUAAAAGCCUAUGAAGCAUACUAUCCUAUGCCGGUCACAUAUUACUGUCUGCCCCCUGAAGAGACCCCAAGUUGUGUCAUAUGUUAAAAUUCUUUGUGCUUCCAGACCGAAUCAGGACUUGGUUUGUGCACUGGAGAGGAUUGAAUAAGUAAGGUUGAUUAUGCCUUGUGAACACAAGAACAAGCGGAGUACCUUUACGAGAAUAUCAGGCUUUUAUUGCGUCGUCCGGCACUUGCAUGUGCGUAGGGUGUAUGUGUAAAGAGAUUAGUUUUCACUUAGGAACUCAAUGUAUGGAAAAUCCAUUAUGUACUCCGUUUCAGCAAACGAUUGUUUUCGGUGACUGGAAUAUUCUUAUUUUGCUGAAUUAUAAUAUUCUUGAAAAAAUUACGGUCAGAUACUAAAUGUGAUCCAUGCUUGUGUUCCGUUGACUCAGUAAUUGCUUUGGCUUAUGAUAAAUUCUGGUGACUAGCCAGGCCAAGUGACUUCAGCCAAGCUGCAAGCGAGCAGGUUAUACUUGCUGACAUUACUCGAAAACUUCUUAACCAAACCAAGAUAACCUUGCAUGCCGAAAGUUGUUGUCGUUUUCUUGUGUUGCUUGCUUAAAUUUAAUCGCGAGUGUGAAUCCCGAAUGGGCCAUUUAACUAACCGGUGCGGUUCUUAUCAAUUAAACGAGAAGAAAAAAUACAGCUCUGUUUCAUUGCAUCGUUUGGAAGUAUUUGAUGACAUCGCUACAACCCUUAUCAAUGAUUGCUGAUAUAUUCCCCUAUAAGUUGAAGGGAAAAGGGAGCUUUUAUGACCAUUAUUUGCGGACUUGACACGCCUGCCACAGGGCCGAGGAUGGAUAGGGUGCUCUUUGGUUCACCUUUGAAGAAGACAUGAUAUAUACUUGUAUAUCAUACCAUCCUAGUUAGCGAACUUCAUAAUGGCAAAUCAUUCUCACUCAGUUGUCUCCGAAUCAGCAGCAAUGGAUUUCAUUAAUGAGAAUCAUAUGUCACGGGCUAAUUGAUCUAACGUUCUCUUUCCCGUAUAGCUUUAGUAAUUUCUUCCCAAGUCAAUUUUUCUCACACUCACAAAGAUGGUGGAGAGAAAUCUUUUGGAGAUAGAAUCUCUAAAUUUUAAAAAAUUAUGAUACAAAUAAAAUGGAGAAGACCCUAUAUAUACAAAUACUCCUCAAAUUAUAACCAUAGAUGUCUUCUCAAUCUAAUGGUAGAAAUUUUAUCUUCCAAUCUACCAACUAUCCGCAUUUAUUACAGGAACACUUAAGAAUAAUGAACAUUUACAAUAUUACUUGUCCCUAGGAAUAUUCUCAAGAAGACUAGAGAGGUUCGCCUGAUAUUCUUGGAUCAUUUUCGGUCCUUCAUGCAUGUGAAACCUUUGGACCAUGAUAUUCUCGUCCACCUGAUCGGGCCACAACCUUGUCACAUUUUCAACAUGGAAUGCAUCGAUUUGCUUUUUGAAUCGCCAAAGAGCUUCCACAGGUUUUUGACUAGCUUCAUUCUCCGGUGGACCCUUCCAUCAAAUAUAAAUUCUCGCUUCAGCACACAAUACCGUUAUCAUCUGACUCGAUCUGUCAUCAUGAAAUCGACAUCACGAUCAUAUUAGAUUUUUGCUCCAAGAUGUAUCCAUUACGACUCUCCUUGAUCCGACUUUUCUUCAUCUACAUAAAAAAGGUUUAAGCACAGGUAACAUCAAAUGUACCUUUAGCUUUGGCGGGGGCUCUAGUGUAUGAUACCUUCCCAACUUGUUGCAACACUCGUAAUGACCCUUCAUAGCUACAGAUCAAUCCCUUGUGCACGUCUCGGUUUCAAAGAAGUAAAUGUAGUUUUGCUAACAUUAGGUCCUCAACUUGGUACUCCAUGUGCUGUCACUUCUUGUGGUCCUAUUUCUUCAUGUGCUUCAUGGCCUUGUAUAGACAAGUCCUUACCAAGUUUGCUUGUUCUUGCCACUCCUUAGCAGACUUUUAAGUUGAUGGGCUACUCCCUUGAUAGCCCGUUGCAACUAUACUAAGAGUAAGUGGUUGUUGCCUUGUCAUGAUCUUGGAAGGAUAUUUGGUUCAUAGACUCGCUUCGCCGCAAGCUAUAGGAUAACUGGGCUAUGUCAAUCAACUUUUCACAAUCCUUUUGCAUUGUGCUCAUGCAGUGUAUGAAAUACAGCUCCAAGAGUCAUUCACUCAUUUGUCUGACCAUCAAUUUGGGGAUGUAGACUAGUGAAGAAGUUGAGCCUUCAACUCUCGCAGCUUAAAGAACUCGGUCCAAAAUCUCCCAGUGAAUUGAGGAUGGUGGUCACUCAUAAUUGUCCACGGUAUGCCCUAAUACUUGACAAUGUGCUUUAGGAAUAGCUAAACUGCAGUUGGGAAGUCCUUUGUUGCUAGCAUGAAUGUGGCAUACUUAAAGAAGCCAUCCACCAAAAUCAUGAGAGUCCGACACCCUUUGGACUUGGCAAAUUCACAAUAAAGUCCAUGGAGACACUCUACCAUGGACGCUUCAGAAUAGGAAGUGUCUCAUAGGGCCCUACCUUGUCUUGUUGGCAUGCAAGCCAUAUCCUCACAGAAUUGUCCACAUCGGUGUGUGGGUGUAGCCAAAACUAAUGAUUUUUCCAUAAGUGCCAUCAUACAUAUGAUGGAUGUGGCACCCCUCGACGGCCCCCGAUCCGUUAGGAUCGCCACAGUUCGCUUACCUUUUACUUUCCCUAAUAACAUGUCACUCUGAUACCAUAAAAUUGCAGCGGGUCCAUAUAACCUGGGGGUUUACAUCUUUUAGAUCGGUCCCUUGCGCAAUUCAUAUAACGGAAGCAUAUCCAACAACUCCAUUCCCUAUAUUCAGAAAACGAUGCACACCAACUAAACAUUUAUAGGUAAAAGCCGAGCACUUUUAUUUACUUAAACUAGAUGGACAUAAUUCAUUGAUACAUCAAAAUACCAUAGUUUUCUAUACUUGGCUAUAUUUCAAAAGAUGACCAACAUCUCCUCCAACAGUCAUAUACUUAAAGUCCAUCGAUCAGUGUCGGCGUCCAAAAGUUCCUUCAUUUGCUAUCCUCCUCCUCGCGAUCAUAUCCAACCACUUGAUUAUCUACCGGUGGCGGUAGCAGCAGAGGUAUCUUAUCUAGUCUGAAAUGUUAGUCCCCGAAGGGGUGAGUACAGCCACUCAACAGGUAAAUGACCCAAUAAAACACUCAAUGCAUCACACAAUACAAUCAUAACAAUUAUAGCAUAAGACAUAUCAUUCAAGCAUCCAUGUAUAAUUUACCUUGGAGCCAUGCAUAUGUCAUCAUACCACAUGUACACACAUCCUCAUGUAAUCAUCACCAUCAUAUCAUACAUGUACUAUCAUGUCAUAGGUGCACAUACAUCCAUGCACUCAUCAUCAUCAUGUCACAUAUGCCAUCAUGCCAUAUGUGCACAUACAUCCAUGCACUUACCAUCAUCAUGUCACACAUACCAUCAUGCCAUACACUUACCAUCAUCAUGCAUCCAUGCAUAUAACGUCAUCAUCAUGUCAUGCAUAUAUCAUCAUCAUCACGUCAUGCAUAUAUCAUCAUGCAUAAUUCAAUUUCAAUUUCAUUUUGAAUUGCCACAUUUCUCUUUCCCGGGACCAAUGUUUGCAUCCCACAUGUAUCCAAGAUCCAAUCAGACAUCCGGCUCCCCCACUCUCCGGGCAUCUCGUACCCCAACUGGCAUCAUGGGGACCCUCCGGCAUUCAGCCAUUUAAGGCCAGCGGGCAAUCGGCCGUACCCUUUUAGCCAAGCAUCUCGCACCCCAACUGGCAUUGCGAGGCAUCCCUCGGCACAAUACCUGCCGAGCUUCCGGCUCCCCCACUCUCCGGGCAUCUCGAUACCUCUCGGUACUCCCGAGGACCCUCCGGUAUCCGGCCAUUCAAGGCCACCGGGCAACCGGCCGUACCCUUCUAGCCAGGCAUCCCGACACUCCCGGGGCAUCGUCGGCUCACACCUCCAGCGGCUUUCUCAUUUAUCUCAAUUCUCAUCUUCAAUUAUAGUUCAAUUUUAACAUGGCAUGUGAUGUGAUAGCAAUCAAGAUCAUAUUCAUCCUUGAAUUCAUACAUGCAUCUCAAAUCAUCAUCAUACAUGCAGCAAGACACAAUCAUCCAUAACAAUACAAUUCAUGGAGUCCAUACAAUUUAAAAUAGUCCAUUUUCAUGCCUUUUUGGAGUUUACUAAAUUCCAGCUUGUACCAUUUUAUAAAAUAUUUAAAUUAAAUAUCCAUAUGACUCUCAAAAAUCAUGAAAUCAAGACAUGUGAUAGACAAGUCAAUAAGAUAACAAUUUCAUGAAGAGCACAUGCCCAAAAGAGUUUCACACAAGAAGAUAUAACUCACACAAGUACAGCAUGCAAUUUCGGAUAGAAACAGAAUGCGUAGUUUUUGAAAUAAUUCGAUUAAAAUACCCGAACAACCUCCGAAAAUUAUGAAAUUUUACCAGGUUAUAUCUAAGACACUAAAGUAGAUUUUCCAUGAAGAAAUCUAGGCCAGAUUCGUUCUAGAUAAUUUUCUAUAGUCAUCCGAAGCUUCUGAUUCUAGCACCGAAAACGUCCAGUAUAGCUAUCUCCGAAAUAUCGAGUUUUCACCCAUUUAUUAUUCUUCGUUUCCUCUAAAAUUUGGAUAUGUUUUACUUCAAGAGUUUCCCUACAACUUUCAUUAAGGUAUCUAAGCCAAAUUUCCAAAGAAUAGUCACCAUAUGGGUCCAUGAAGUCUCGGGUGUCCAGUACCGUGUUUCCAGAUUUACCGUCUUCAAGAGUAAGUUGAUUCAUUAGGCUAAACUUGCUCAUUUUACUUAAAAUUUGAGUAUGUUAGUCUUUAGGAUGUUCUAUACAAGUUUCGUGAAGAAGUCGAAGAGAUAUUCUUAGUAAAAAUCGACAUACAACCCACAAAACUACCAAAAGGUCAGCAAAGCAGUUCCAGAUCUAGUUUCUUCGAAGAAAGAGGGUUUUUCCCCUUAAAUCUCAACCAUUUUGUCCCAAAGUUUAGUAUGUUAUAGUUUAAGAUGUUGGCUACAAAUUUCAUGAAGGAAUCGAAGUCCAAAUCCAACUCUAAACAUGCAUGCAAGCCUCCACAAGAUUCUGGGUCGAGCGGUUCACACGAAAUCAGCAAGCCUUUUCAAGAACAAGUCACAUUCUAGCUUCGGUUUUGCCUACCCUAACAUCCGAGAUCUACCACCAACAAAUCACACAUGCAAGACACACAUGCAAGAGUGGAAAUCGAUCCCAAAUUGCCUCUAAGACCAAGUGGAUGACAGCAAAUGGACGGCACACCGGUGACGGACGGAUGGCGUGCGGGCGGCGACGGGCGGACUCCUUCUCCUCCUCGGUUCCUCUCUCUCGCACUCCCUCUCUCUCUCUCUUUGGCUUGGCCGAAUUCAACCGGCCACUCUCUCUCUCUUUUCCUUUUAUUUCCCCAAAACUCCAUCAUUAGGUUUUGCAUGCAAGUGACAAGUGGCCCCAAGGAUGAAGACACUUUGCACGUCCAUGCAAUGGGCGUGCCUCCACGUGUCCGAUUACAUGCAAGGCUGAUGGGCCUUCUUCUUGGGCCAAUCUUGGGCUUUCAUUCGGCUGGGCUUGGGCCAGCCUUGGUUGCCGAAUGGGGGGGGGUUGCGUGGGCUGGUUUUGGACGGGCUUUUGGGCCUAAAAAAAUCAGCCCACCCUCUCCUAUUCCUAUUCCACUUAACCCUUAUUUAAACAAACUUCUAGUUUCAACUUAUAAGCCCACAAAACUUUAUAAUUUAAAUCAAUAAAAUUCUACUCAUAAAGUGCACCACCAAGAAUAAGAUUUCUAUGUCAAUUUGCACUUUAAUAAAUCCUUGGGUCACUUGAAGAUACGUCUCCAUCCAAGCAAUCAUCCUUUACAAUGUUCGGCCUUAAAUUAAUUGAAACUCGUCAACUCAAUGGCUAAUACAAAAUCAAACAGUACUUCCAUUACCUACUCAUGGUUCAUGGUAUAUUUAGGAGUUGUCAUGAAAUUUUCGGACACCACAAUGGAUCCUGGAUAACCUGCUCACUUAGAAUUGUACUACUCACAGAGCACCUCUUUUCGUAGUUUCCCAUGAAGCAUCACGUAUAGUCGUCAUCCCUUGGUGUAAAGUAGAUCAGUCUCACAUUAUAAUUGUCGAGUCUUGGUCUCUUGUGCAUGCUCAAGGAGUGCCUUGGUGGUUAGGUUGUGUUGUGGCCCCCUCCUUGAUGUGCUUGGUCCAUGGACAUCGACUGAUGGUUGCCAGCUCCAUCUUUCGGCUAAGUGCAUCGGCCAAGGAGUUGGCCUUCUUAGGGUUGUAUUGCAGCACGUAGUCAAGCUUCGCAAGGAAGUCAAGCUUCGCAAGGAAGUCUUGCUAACAAGCUUGCUUUAGAAUCAACUUCUUUUGGGUUUACAAGUAGCUCAUGGAAAUGUUGUUAGCACUUGCCACAAACCACGAUCCCUUGAGAUGAUGUCGCCAUGUCCGAAGGCAGUACACCACCAUCGUCAUUGCCUUCUCUUGGACCAUGUAUCGCUGUCCGGUCCCAUUCAUCUUACUUGAUUCAAACGUCACUAGGUGUCCUUCUUGCAUUAGAACACCACCAAUAGCAUAAUUGGAGGCAUUAAUCUCUACCUCAAAGGGCUUUGAGCAGUUAGGCACUACAAGCACCAGUUCCUUAGUUAGCACUUGCUUUAAUUGAUCAAACGCCUUUUGAUAUUGAGGCUUAUAGACCAUGGGUGAGACCCUUGCCAGAUUCGGCGCAAGCAAGGCUUGCUUGAAGCCAAUGAUUAGCUGGAGGAGGAAGAAGGAAGAGGAGUAUAAUUAGGUCCCCCCUGUUGGUGUAGUAUGAUUUUGAUAUUUAAUAUCUAACUAGAGGAAGAAAACGAAAGAUUGGGUACUCAAAGACUCUUUGCUGAAAAUGAAUUAUUUAGAAUAUAAUUUUUUGUAAGAGAUCAGUUGAAAUAAUUAACUGAUAAAAAAGUUUUUAUUAUCAGUUGUAAUUUAUGUUGGAAAGUUUCUGUGGAAAAUGAAAGCACUUUUUCUUCAUCCAUAUCUGUAAAGGUUAGGAACAAUACUUCCCGUUUCUAAAAAUGAUUUCACAAAAAUGAAUGAACGAAGAGUAUUCUUAUUAUUUGCGAAAUUGUUAAAACAUAAAUUAUUAGUAAAUAACGAAAAUAUUUUUUUUAGAUUAAUUAUUUCAAGUGAUACAAAUGAUUAUUUUGUAAGAAAAUAUUGUUUAAAGUCAAGUAAUUCACAAGAGACGGACAUGCCUACGAUUCAGCUAGAGAUGGGCAUCGAAGAGAGCGGGCCACGUCUAUGCAAAGAUAUCGCCCUCCUCAUAUCGCUCGUAGCAUAAAUCGUUCGAUCUACUGAAAAGUAGUUUAUCACGGCCCUUAUUUCUUCAUUAGCGGAAUGGACUAUAGUCUUUAGCUGCCAGGAUUCCGAUGCGAUCGCACUAUAAUUAAAUAAUAAUUCAUUGACCAAGACCUCGACUUCAACGACAAAGUGAAGGAACAUAAAAAUCCAAAAAAGAAUAAUAAGAAGAAAAUAGAGAGGAUGGGAUCGAUCACGUGUGUGAAACGCGUACUUUUCAGUUUUCAGGAGAUCUCAUGUUUUACGAUUGAAGAAAAAGCUCCUUUGAGCGAGCAAAAAGGUUAUUAUCUUUCAUAUUUUUUGUCAAAAAUUUCAAAAAAAAUAAAAAAUGCCCAAGGAUGGCCGUUUCACAGAGAUGAUGUAGAGAGUAAUGUCUGCUUCGCUUCCGGUCCGAUCGUCCGUCCUUUGUCCCGUUAAUUUCGAUUUGCCCUCGUGUUGCAAGAUUUCCCUAUCAUUAACUUUUAAAGAGUUGAGACGGAACGUGGAGUGCCGCUAUAGAGAAUCGAUAGUUGAUCUCAGCGCAUUAUUCAAAGAAAUAAUUACGGAUUUAGCUUGGAAUCUCUAUUGUAGGGAUUGUCAAUUCAAUUUCAAAUUUUUUGCUGAUGAAGUCCUGGAAACUUUGUGGGGGAUUUCAAUGUGGUCCUUCCGAGGCUAACUUAUUGGAGUUUGGUCCAUUCUCCUCAUUGACGAGAUGACACGGCAUUUCUACUCCUUGGUAAGCGGGCGGAGUCUAAGGCCACCCCAAUAGGAGUCGUGAGGGAAGCGCUCUCGAGUUGCUGAAGAAUUUUUAUAAUUUGAGCAUAUUGGUAGUUUAGACUUGGACCCAUGAUGAGCAAUUAGAUAUAAAUAAUCUCUUGCUUUUGUAUUUGACAGAUAUAUGUGAUGUGCCAAUUAUAGUGCAAUCCUCCAUUAGACAUAAUCCUAUUGUAAGAGUGAACCGGGAUGAAAACAUAGUGUCUCUAAUUCUCUUUUUCGCUUUUAUUCUUGAUUUUCCUGUAAUUGUGCAUCGAAUUCUAAAAUGAUUGUCGCCUGGAAAUAGCUUGAUGACGUUGUGUUUCCACCAAGGCUAUCCACAUUGGUGUGCCAUGCGGGACAACAGGCAUACGAUUUCGGUGGCAAAUUGAUCAGAAUGAUUACAUUAGAAUUGCACUUGCGAGAUUUAGGCCUACACUGGCGAAGUUGAAAAAUUUAAAAUCGAAUUGAUAUUCAUAUGAUAAAUAAGUUGAGGAUGGAUCUGGUGAUUAUCCCAAUCGAUAAAGAUUUUUCAAUUCUAGUAUGUCGUUUAAAUUAGAUAGAAGAGAUGCGUACGUGCAAAAUCGCAAUGCAAUUCUAUCCAAUGAAAAGCUUGAACCCGUCAACUGCCUGAACUGAGUCCGUUGCCAACAUUCAAGACUCACUGCUUCAAAAGUUACCGAGUCGUGAGGGGCGACUCGCCUCUCUCUCUCUCUCCCCUUCCUAAAGUGGCGAUCCUCUGUUUUCGAUCGCCUCGACUCGUUAUUUUACUGAGAAACGGGGUGGCUCUUUCCCUCCACUCGUUAUUGUAUUGACUGGUCAAUAAUUUGUCCUUUGUUCCCCGCACCGCGUCCCCCAAGAAAUUUCUCCUCUUCACGCGCUCCUCUCAUGCUCGCCACUCUUUAUAAAGCUACCCCUUUCGUCCCCGAUACGUGCACACACUCAGUUUCAACUUGCUCCGAGUGUCCUUCGAGUGUCUCUAGCUUCCAAAUCAAAAGUCAGAGCAGUCACAAUCUCAGUUCUUGAAACCCAAGAGAAAUGAAGGUGAGAUGUCUUGAAGUCCUUCGAGAAGUUCCCUCUUUUCUUUGCAUAUUAUGUGUAUCUUGUUCACUUCUGUGAGAUGGGUUUUUGAUGUUACUCUCCUGGGUUUUCUUGAACAUUUCUCUUGGUAUCUCUCGUCUCAAGCUUCAUGAGUUAUCGUUUGCUUCUUUGCUGCUGUGAUUAUUUAUCGCAUAGCAUGAUUGUAUCUGUUUAUGUGAAUAAGAAUGCUCGGAAUACCAAAUGAUGCUUCAAAUUUUUAUUCGUUGUUGGUUAUAUAUGUCCAACUUUUUCAAACGCUACUCUGUCGCACCAGUCGUGAAUGUCGAGUUCAGUCGUCCUCGUGAGAGAUAGAUAUUUACUCAAAGUCUAACUGGGUUUUGCUUUCCUCAAACUUUUGCAGAAGUUGGUGGUGAAGGUGAAUCUACACGAUGACAGAGACAGAAGCAAGGCCAUGCAAGUAGUUUCUGGUUUUGGAGGUAUUGGCUCUCUCUCUCUCUCCGCCCGCGCCCCCGCCCCCCCUUCCUCUGUUUUUCCCCUUCAUUCUCCCAGUGAAUGUUCAAAUGUCACUGUAAUAACUAAUCAUCUUGCGCUUGAAAUGUUCGGCUUUUUCACUAACGUUUCUCACAUAAUGCUUUCCAGGGAUUGGGUCUCUGUCUAUGGACUCGAAGGACAACAAACUGACGGUAUCCGGCGAUUUCGACCCUGUCAAGCUGGUGAACAAACUGAGGAAAUCAUGGCACACAGAAAUCGUGAGCGUCGGAGCAGCCAAGGAAGAUGAUGGCAAGAAGGACGAUCAAGUUGCCAAUCUCGUAAAAGCCUAUGAAGCAUACUAUUCUUCGCCGGUCACAUAUUACUGCGUGCCCCCAGAAGAGACCCCAAAUUGUGUCAUUUGUUGAAAUUCUUUGCGCUUCCAGACUGAAUCGGGACUUGGUUUGUGCAUCGGAGAGGAUUGAAUAAGUAGGGUUGAGUAUGCCUUACGAAGACAAGAACAAGUGGAGUACCUUUUCUAGAAUUAUAGGCUUUUAUUGCGUCGUUCAGUUCUUUUAUGAGCGUAGGGUGUAUAUAUAGAGAGAUCGGUUUUCACUUGAGGAACUCAAGUUAUGUAAAAUCCAUUCCGUACUCCAUUUUAGCAAACCAUUGUUUUCGGUGACUGCAAUAUUAUUAUUCUGACGAAUUAUAAUAUUCUUGAAAAGAGUACGGUCAGAAUGUGAUCCAUGCUUUUGUUUCAUUGACUUAGUAAUUGCUUUGGCUUAUGAUAAAUUCUCUUGACUGGUUGGGUCGAAUGACUUCAGGCAAGCUGCAAACAAGCAGGUUAUAAUUGCUGAAAUUACUAGAAAACUUCUUAACCAAGCCAAGAUAAGAAAGUGUGGCCUUAGACCUUGCAUGCCGAAAAUUGUUGUUGUUUUCUUGUGUUGCUUGCUUAAAUUUGAUCGCGAGUGUGAACCCCGGAUAGGCCAUUUAACUAAUUAGUGCCGUUCUUAUCAAUUAAAUGAGAACAAAAAAGACAGCUCUAUUUCAUUGCAUCUUUUGGAAGUAUUUGAUGACGUCGCUACAACCCUCAUCAAUGAUUGCUGAUAUAUUUCCCUAUAAGUUGAAGGGAAAAGGGAGUUUUUAUGACCAUUAUUUGCGGACUUGAUGGGCCUGCCAUAGGACCAAGGAAAGGUCGCGGGGUGCUCUUUUGUUCAUCUUUGAAGACAUGAUUUAUACUUGUAAAUCAUACCAUCCUAGUUAACAAACUUUAUAAUGGCCAAUCAUUCUCACUCGAUCUUCUCCAAGCCAGUAGUAAUGGAUUUCAUUAACAAGAGUCAUAUGUCACAAGCCGGUUGAUCUAGCAUUCUCUUUACUCGUAUGGCAUUAUAAAUUUCUUUCCAAGUUAGCAUAUCUCACACACUCACAAAGAUGGUGGAGAGAAAUUCUUUCGGAGAGAGAAUCUUUGAAUUUUAAAUAUUCUUGAGAUGAUCCAAAUAAAAGGAGGAGACCUCUUUAUAUACAUGUACUCUGGGUGUCGAACAUCUGGAGUGCCAAUGUCACGCCCCGAAUCUCGAGUGCGUGCACAUCCCUCGAUGAUCAAUAAAAUUGCAACAUUCCCAAGACGCAUAGCCGACCCAUUCAUUCUAUGUACAUGCUAAACCGAAUUAAACAAUCCCCUGACAACAACAAAUAUAGGAUAGAAAAGCAAGAUAACUAAUUUAAAUAAGGGAUAAGUGUUACAGAAGUCCUAAAACUUGUUGCAAAAAUGCAUUUGAGUCCUAAAACUUGCAAAAAGUGCAAAUAAGUCAUAAAACUUGUCAAAAUGUUUCACUUGGGUCCUAAAAUUGACGUCGUUAGCCUUUUCCGUUAAAAUUGCUGACGUGGCAUUUAAAAUUAAUUUUUUUCCCCGUGGCCUUUUUUAAAUGAUUUUUUUAUUCAUUUUUUUAGAAAAAUUUAAAAUCUAAAAAAGUAGAUUUAUUUAUUUUAUCUUAUUUUCAACAAAAAAAAGAAAAGCGAAAAUUUAUUUAAAAAAGAAAACAGUUCAAAAAAAAAAAAAAAAUGGCAGCUUCGCUAAAGGGGCCGGCGACUGUCACUGGCCUUGGGUGCGGGUGGCCGGCCCUCGCCCAGCUAGGGCAAGGCCUCAACGGCCCUAGGCGAGGGCCAGCAACCCUCGCCUAGCUCGGGCGAGGGUGCCUAGAUCUGGGCACGCCGNNNNNNNNNNNNNNNNNNNNNNNNNNNNNNNNNNNNNNNNNNNNNNNNNNNNNNNNNNNNNNNNNNNNNNNNNNNNNNNNNNNNNNNNNNNNNNNNNNNNCUUAUCCCUUUAACAAACACACUUUAUAAACAAACCAGGUCAGCCCUACAAAGUUAUAUACAUAAGGUCAAGAUUAAAAAAUGACUACCAACUAACCCUACCCUGUACCCUACUACUUGGGAUCUGAGUCCACUACGACACCAUCAGGAAUGUAGAUGUCUAGCGGGUCAACUACAUCCUCUACUUCGGGCUCCAGCUCAUCCUCGAGUAACUGGUUCGUUGUGAUAUUAGCUAUAAUAUCGGCGUCAUGCACGAGGUCGAGUACCACCUCACUCUCACCCUCAACGGUAGGUUCGUUGAAGCCAUCCACCCUCCCGGACCUGGUUAGGCCCGCGACGAAAUCACGCUUUGAAUCAAUGAGGUACCAACUAAGGUUGGUCCUUAUUGACCUAGAUCAUGCUUAUGACGAGCUCGCGGGUCCAAGGAUUCCCGGGAACAGGGAAGACGGUAUGCUGCUCCUCGACCUCUCGCGGACACCCAAAAUGAACUGGUUGGACCUCCAUAUAAGGACCUGUAAAAUUGUAAAUCACGAUGGGGGUGAGACAAUGUAUCAGCAAUUCUACGCCCUAAACCUCGAUUAGAAAGGUAAUACACCUAGAGGCAGCCUAAACACACAUCAUAUGAGACUUACCUCGCCUCUACACCUCCCUGCACAUUAGCUCAACUCAUAUAAUAGAUGCAUACAAUAAAUGCACUUAAUAAUUAGAACGCUUCACUUUCACAUAUUAGUCAAUUACAUGGGUCUCGAUUAUAAGGCAAAAUCGUUAUGACAUGUCACAUUCCGUGCCACACAAUUUUGUCCCAUAAUCAGGCGCGGUCAAAUCACUCAAUCAAGCAUUCCAAUUACUUACGACCCAUCGGUCAUCCAACUCAACAAUCGGUAGUCCUCUGGCAUAGCCAGGCAUCGCAUCGCCCCAUCGAGCAUGGCAAUGUCUACCUCUAGACGACAUUCCCAAAGGAGUAUCGGUACGGCCUCUACCGCAAUCUGGCAUCCAUUGAUGUUGGGCAUUCCAUAUAGGAGCAUCAUCCACCUGACUUUCUUCGGCUAAGGAUAUCGUGCUUUGCACUCAAAUGUCUUAAUUUCAAAUAAUGUACUUGGCCUAUUUUCUUCAUAUUAAAAACACCUGGUAAAAUAAGUGUGCAUGAACACAAGAUCAUAUUGGAAGAUAAAAGGUGGUACACUCUCUUUUAAAAAUUCCACGAUUUUAUAUAGUACGACACAUGGUAUUUUUAUAAUUAAAUACCGAAAAUUCAUAUUUUUGAAAUAAUAAUUGAAAACCAUCACUCAGCAUCCAAUUUCACAAUUUAGCACUCAAUUGUACAAUCCAACACAACCAUGACGAUUAGCACAAAAUUCUGACAACCGACUAUCCCGGUAUAAUUUUUGCUAAUUAAUAAAUAAUUAAAUAAAUUGCAUUUGAUUAAAUAAAUUGUAAAAUAUUUAAAUUAAACCACUAAAUUAAAUUAACAUAAGCUAACUGGGCCACUUUAAUCAAACUAACUAAUUAAUCUAACUAACCUAGCUAAUUUAAUCUAAUAGGCUAGCUACAUAAACUAAUUAAACUAACUAAAUCACCUAACUAACAAUUCUAACUAAAUUAGCCUAAGGACUAAUUACUCUAACCAUCUAGUCACACUAACUAGCUAGUUGGACUAAUUAAGGAUUACACUAAUCCCUAAUUAACCUAACUAAUCCACCCUAAGCAUAAUUAGCCUCCUAAUUAGAGUUUAGGAGGUAAACUCACCGGAUUAGCGAAUAAAUCGGUUCACAGCAAUGGUGACGCAAAGGCAAGCAAAACUCGAGCCUACGACGACACCUAAAGAGGCUAAACCGAGGUCGGAAAAGGCCUAACACGACUCAGCUAAGGUUGAGCUUCGGCCUUGCUGGAAACGGGCAGAGGCGCGGCUUGGCUCAGCCAAUGGCACAAGGACAAGCUAGACGGCGUUUCUGGAGUGGAGCGGGCGAUGGCGGACGGCGGCUUGGUUGGGCGAAGCUACAAUGGGCGGCCAAACGUCGCGGCUUGGCGAGACGCAAAGGACGUGAGGCGGGCCUAGACGCGCGGCUCAGGGACAAUGGGCUUAGGCACAGGGAGUUGGCUCGCGGUGACCGAUGGGUGGUGCUAGGCUCAGGCGGUUGACAUGCAGGCUCAGAUGGCUUGAGAGAGGGGCUAGAGGCUUCUGUUCAAGGGGCUAUGCUAGUUUGCUACUCUGGAAAUGGUGUUUGAAGCAAGAAGGGAGAAGAAGAAGCUGAGGAAGAAGAAUAUGCUGCUGGAAGGGGAACAAAGGGCCUCAAAAGUCUUGCCAAAAUAUCUUGAAUACUUGAGUACAAGCCUCCAAAGUCUUCAGCCUUGAUCCACAACCAUUUCCCCUCCCAAGCUUCUCCAACAAGUCAAGCUUGAUGCCUAAAUGUUAUAGCCCCCCUAGCCUACGAAUUUCACCCAUUGCACUUUAAUUUCUUCACCAAUCUCUUCAAUUUGAUGUCCAAAAUUGCUGAGGAGGGAGCCAUAACAAAUUCCAUAGUUUUCCUCACCAAUUGAUCCAUCUUGAAUGCCAAAAAUCCACUCAAUUUAGCCCAUCCGAAUUUCUCGGUCCAAUUCCGCCAAAUUUUGAUUUUUUGCCAAAAAUUUGGGCUCGCUGAAAAUUCUUCAAAGGAUGAGUUGACGUCCUAAAAAUAAAUCGUGACAUACUAGAACUUUCAAUUCCUGAAACUGGGUUCAAUUUCGUGGUUAAUUUCAAUUGGACGCGAUUUUAGCGUGACCUAACCUACCGGGUAACUUUUAGGAAUUCUUAGCACAUUCGACCCGUGGUCGAUUACUUUCGAUCAAUAAUGUGCAUAUUCGACUUAUAGAUGACUCUCGGUUGUCGUAGAAAUGUCAAAGUUUCAAUUACGGGCAUAUAGUACAGAAUCGACAGAAAAAAUCGGUUUAGUGCCGUUCGACAUGAAUUUUGCAAUCAAGCGGAAUCACCCACACUUUAAUUACACGCCUUUGUCGAAUUGACCUAUCUCUGGUCUCUAAUCGAUUUUAAUGGUGUUGUAUUGACCCUUACAGAUUAGCAAUGUCGAAUAGUCGAUUUCUAAUCGAAUUCUCAAGUCUAUCGCGUUUAUAUUUCUUAACGGCUUCACUUGAUAGAUUAGUUAUCUCAUAAGUGAUCAACUCAAAGAAAAAGACUAUAGGCGCAUCGAUGAAAAGCCCAAUUCUUAUUGGGACAUGGUCGAAAAUCAGGAUGUCAUAGCCAAAACUUAAUAUGGAAGGAUACUUAAAUGUCAAAAGUUAGAAAAAUGACACUUAAGUACCAAAAUUGAAGUAAAAUGGAUCACAUAAGUGCCAACAACAAGAAAAUCCGGCCAAAAUGUUGAGGUGACAAUUUUUUGGCGAGGCAAAUGCAAAAUGACGUGUUUUGCAUGCUGACGUGGCUAGACAAAUGCAAAAAUGAUGUCGUUUUGCUACUGACGUGGGUAAAUAAUUAAUAUAAAAAUUAAUUAAAUUUAAUUUAAAACUAAUUUUCUUCAAAAAAAAAUUCUUAAAGAUGGAGAUUGCAGGCGGCGAGGGCCUAUGAGCCCUUGCCUUCGGUUGGCCGGGGUCACCGGUCCCUGGCCAAGGUCUAGCGACCCUGGGCAACCCUCUCCCCACCGUUGCCAACCCUUCUCAACAACCACAGAGAGGGCAACGGCAACAAGGGCUUCGCCCUUAGUCACGUGCUUCAUUCCUCUUUUUUUUUUUUAAUAUUAAUUUUUAUAUUAAAAUUCCAAUCCCGCCAAAACAACUUCAUUUUUGCAUUUCUUUUCUAAGUCAACUCUUCGGUGACCCACAUAGGUGAGCAAAAAUAAUAAAAAAAUUGUCAUGUAAGAUUUUCGGUAGGGUUCGCUGGAGAUGGAACUUAAGUAUCACUUUCUUAACUUUUAACACUUAAGUGUCCCAUCGUAUCAAGUUUUGGCACGUGGGUUGUAUUAAGUACUCUUUAGAUUAUAACCAUAGAUGUCUCAUCGAUUUAACAGUGGAAAUUCUAUCUUCCUAUAUGCCAAUCAUGUGCAAUUAUUAUAGGAACUCUUUGGAGUAAUGUACAUUUACAAUAUUGCUUGUCCUAGGAAUAUUCUCGAGAAUACUAGAGAAGAUCACCCGAUCUUCUAGGAUCAUUCUCGGUCCUUUGUGCGUGGGAAACUUCUGGACCAUGAUAUUCUCCUCCUCCUAAUCGGAUGACAUCCCUAUUGCAUUUUUGGCAUGGAAUGCAUCGGAUUUGCUUUCUGAAUCAUUAAAGAGUUUCCACGGGUUCUCGACUAGCUUUACUCUCCGGUAGACCCUCUCAUCAUAUCAAAUAUUCUCGCUUCAACAAACAAUGCCUCUUUCAUUUGACUCAAUCUAUCAUGAUGAAAUCGACAUCACGAUCAUACAAGGUUUUUGGUCCAAGAGGUAACUGCUGUAACUCUCAUCAAUCCGGAUCUUCUUUAUCUACGUCAAAAAGGUUUAAGCAUACUCACAUGUAACAUCGCAUGUACCUUAAGUUUCAGCUAGAGCUCUAAUAAAUGCUAUCUUCUCGACUCGUUGCAACACUCAAAGUGGCCCUUCGUAGUGACAGAUCAAUGCCCUAUGCAUGUCUUGGUAUCAAAGAACAAAGUGUAGUUUUGCCAAUGCUAGGUGCUCGACUUGGUACUCCAUGUGUCGUUGCUUCUUGUUAGCCCAUUUCUUAAUUGCUUUGAGGCCUUGUGUAGACAAGUUCUUACCAAGUCGCUUGUUCCUGCCACUCCUUAGCAAACUCGUAAGCCACUGGGCUACUCCCUCAAUAGCCCGUUGCAAUCAUACUCAGAGUGAAUGGUUGUUGCACUGUCAUGAUCUCGAAAAGACUUUGUUUAAUAGACUCGCUUUACUGUAGCUUAUAGGAUAACUGGGUUACGUCAAUCAACUUCGCACAAUCCAAUAGCACAUUCAUCCUAUCCGUUUGACCAACAAUUUAGGGAUGUAGACUUGUGGAAAUGUUGAGGCUUCAACUUAGCAACUUAAAGAGUUCGGUCUAGAAUCUCAGAGUGAAUCGAGGAUCACGGUCACUCAUAAUCGUCUGCGUUAUGCCCCAAUAUUAACGAUGUGCUUUAGGAAUAACCGAGCCACCUCCUCAUUUGGGAAGUCCUUUAUUGUUGGCAUAAACAUUACGUACUUAACGAAUUGAUCCACCAUGGCCAUGAGAAUCCGACACCCUUUAGACUUACUUGUCUUGUUGGCAAACAAGACAUGUCCUCACACAAGCAUCCACAUUGUUGUGCAGGUGUGGCCAAAUGUAAUGAUCCUCCACAAGUGCCAUGAAGUAGUGGAUCCCUAGAUAACCUGCCCACUUGGAAUUGCGGUACUCAUGUAGCAUCUUCUACUAUAGCUUCCCAUGAAGCAGCAUGUACAGUCGUCAUCCCUUGAUAUAGAGUAGGUCGCCCUCAUAUAAGAAUUGUCGAGUCUUGCCCUCGUUUGUUGGGUCGUGUCAUAGCCCUUCCUUAGUGCAUUUGGUCCUUGGACAUUCCGGUCAAUUGAUAGCUGCCAACUCCAUCUUUCAACUGAAUGCAUCGGUCACGGAAUUGGGCUUCUUAGUCAUGUAUUGCAGCACGUAGUUGAGCUCUACAAGGAAGUCUUGCCUAAGAACUUGCUUUGGAAUAAGCUUUUUUUGGGUUUAGAAGUAGCUCGUGGUGACAUAGUCAAUCUUCGCCGCGAAACACGAUCCCAAGAGAUGAUGUUACCAUGUGCAAAUGUAGUACACCAUUGCACCAUUGCCGUCAUUGCCUUUUCAUGGUCCUUCUUGCAUUAGAACAUCACCAAUAGCAUAAUUGAAGGAGUCAAUCUCUAGCUUAUAGGGCUUUGAGUGGUUGGGCCGUACGAGCAUUGGUUUUUCGGUCAUAAUUUCCUUUAGCCAAUCUAACGCCUUUUGACAUUGCGCCUUGCCAAACAUGGGCGAGGCCAGCAACCAAAUGGAGGAAGAAGGAAGGGAAGGGAAGUAUAAACAAGAGGAAGAAAAUGAAGGAUUGGGCAUUUAAAGACUUUUUGUUAAAAAUGAGUGAUUUGGAAUAUAUUUUUCUGUAAGUAAUUGCUUAAAAAAGUUUUUAUUAUCAACAACAAUUUUUGUUUGAACGUUUUCAUGGACGAUGAAAACAUUAUUUUCUUCAUUCAUAUCUAUAAACGAUACGCACGAUACUUUCCGUUCGUAAAAGUGGUUAUUUAUAUUGCUCAAAAAACUGAAUGAUCGAAGAGUAUUUUUAUUAUUCACGAAAACAUUUAGAAAAAAUUAUCAAUAACAAAAAUACUUUUCAUUAAUUGAUCAUUUUAAAUGAUACAAACGAUUAUCUUUUAAGAAACGUUUUUCAAAAUCAUGUAUUUCAUGGGAGACGGACGGGCCUAAGGUUCAGCGAGAGAUAGAAGUCGGAGAGAGCGGACCACCCUUAUACAAUCAGCUUGUAGCUUGGAUCAUUCGAUCUGCUAAAACGCGGUUUAUCAUGGCCCUUAUUUUUAUCAUCGCUAAAUAUGAACCAUCGAUGCCAGGAAUUCUGCCUGAUGUGAUCGGACUAUAUUUAAAUUAUAAUUCAUUGACCUAGACUUGGACUUCAACGUCCACAUCAAGGAACAUAAAAAUCCGAAAAAAGAAUAACAAAAUAAUAAUAAAAAGAAAAAGAUAAUUCAUUGACCUGCUAAAACGUGGUUUAUCACGGCCCUUCUUUUUACAUUAGCUGAACGAACCAUCUCUGCCAGCAAUUCUGAUUGAUGUGAUGGAUUAUAAUUAAAUGAUAAUUCAUUGCCAAGACCUUGACUUCACCGCCAACGUCCAGGAAACAUAACAAUCCAGAAAAGAAUAUUAAUAAAAAGAAAAAAGAAAGGGCCCUUUCACGGACGAUGGAAAUGACGACAAUCACCAUCUCCAACGUAGCAUUUCGACCCGUUCGAGAGGAUGGGAUCGAUCGCGUGCAUGAACGCGUGCUUUCUUGGAGAUUUCUUGUUACUCGGCCCUUCGGCUUUUUUCGAUCUUUUCUUAUCUCACGAAUCACGAUUGAAGAAAAAGCUCCUUUACGCGAGCAAAAAAGUUAUCAUCUUUCUCAUUUUUUUGUCAAUUUUUUUAUUUAAAAAAAACCCAGUAAUGGCAUUUCAACAAAGAUGAUGCAAGGAGUGAUGUCUGCUUCGAUUCCUGUCCGAUCGUUCGUCUUUUGUCCCGAUACUCUCUCCCUUUUAUUUCAAUUUGCUCUCGUGCUGCAAGAUUUUCCUAUCAUAAACUCUUAAAGAAUUGAGACGGUAGAGAAUCAAUAAUUGAUCUUAGUGCAUUUUCAAAUGAAAAAAUUAUGGAUUUAGCUUGAAACCUCCAUCGCACAGAUUAUCAAUUUAACUUUGAAUUUUUGCUGAUGAAGUCCUAGAAACUUUGCAUAGGCUUUCCAUGCAGUCCUUCUGAGGCUAGUCUACUGGAGUGUGGUCCAUUCUCCUCAUUGACAUGAUGACAAUUGGGGGUCCUGCUCCUCGGUAAGCAGACGGAGUCCAAGGCCACCCUAGUAGGGGUCGUGAGGGAAGCACCCUCAAGUUGCCAAAAGAUUUUUAUAAUUUGAGCAUAUACUUUAUUGGUAGUUUAGGCUUAAAUCCACGAUGAGCGACUAGGUAUAUAUAAUCUCUUUCUUAUACAUUUAAGAGAUACAUGAGAUGUGUCAAUUAUAGUCCAAUCCUUUAUUGGACAAAAUCCUAAUUUAAGAGUAACGCGGGAUGAGAAUCUUGUGUCUCGAAUUCUUUUUCUUGCUUGUAUGCUUGAUUUCCUUGUGACUAUGCAUCAAAUCCUAACACGAUUGUCACCCAAAAAUCGCUUGGUGACAUUGUGUUUCAAGCAAAGCUGUCCGCAUUGGCGAGCCAUGCGGGACAACAGGCAUGCGAUUUUGGUGGCAUAUUGAUUGGAAAUAUUACAUUAGAAUUGUGCUUGCGAGAUUUAGGACUACAUCGACGAAGUUGAAAAAUUUAGAACUGCAUAAAUGCUCAUACGAUAAAUAAGUUGAGGAUAGCUCCAAUGAUUAUCCCUAUAGAUAAAGAUUUUUCAAUUCUUAUAUUGUCAUUUAGAUUAGAUGGAAGAGACGCAUACGUGCAAAAUCGCAAUGCAAUUCUAUCUAACGAAAAGCUUGAACCCGCCAACUGCCUGAACUGAGUCGGUUGCCAACAUUCAAGACUCACUGCUUCAAAAGUCAUCGAGUCGCGAGGGGCGACUCGACCGAGUCACUUCAAAAGCCCCCGAGUCGUGAGGGGCGAUUCGCCUCUCUCCUUCUCUCUCUCUCCUUCCUAAAGUGGCGAUCCUCUGUUUUCGAUCGCCUCGACUCGUUAUUUUACUGAGAAACGGGGUGGCUCUUUCCCUCGACUCGUUAUUGUAUUGACUGGUCAAUAAUUUGUUCCCCGCACCGCGUCCCCCAAGAAAUUUCUCCUCUUCACGCGCUCCUCUCAAGCUCGCCACUCUAUAUAAAGCAACCCCUUUCGUCCCCGAUACGUGCACACUCUCAGUUUCAGCUUGCUCCGAGUGUCCUUCGAGUGUUAUUACCUUCCAAAUCAAAAGUUAGAGCAGUGACUCAUCUGAGGUUCUUGAAACCCAAAAGAAAUGAAGGUGAGAUUUCUUGAAGUCCUUCGAAAAGUUCUCUCUUUUCUUGCAUAUUAUGGGUAUCUUUUUCACUUCUGUGAGAUGGGGUUCUAGAUGUUCCUCUCUCCUGGGUUUUCUUGAACACUUCUCUUGGUAUCUCUCGUCUCAAGCUUCAUGAGUUAUCGUUUGCUUCUUUGCUGCUGUAAUUUUAUCGCAUAGCAUGAUUGUAUCUGUUUAUGUGAAUAAGAAUGCUCGGAAUACCGAAUGAUGCUUCGAAUUCUUAUUCGUUGUUGGUUUAUGUGGCCAACUUGCUUAAGCGCUAGUCUGUCGCACCACUCGUGAAUGCCGAGUUCGGUCGUCCUCGUGAGAGAGUGAUAUUUACUCAAAGUCUAACUGAGUUUUGCUUUCCUCAAACUUUUGCAGAAGUUGGUGGCGAAAGUGAAUCUCCAUGAUGACAGAGACAGGAGCAAGGCCAUGCGAGUAGUUUCUGGCUUUGGAGGUAUUGGCUCUCUCUCUCUCUCACUCUCUCUCCCCCGCUCUCUGUUUUUCCCCUUAGUCUCCCACUAAAUCUUCAAAUCGUCACUGUAAUAACUAAACAUCUUGUGCUUGAAAAGUUCGGCUUUAUCACUAACCUUUCUCACAUAAUGCUUUGCAGGGAUUGGGUCUCUGUCUAUGGACUCGAAGGACAACAAACUGACGGUAUCCGGUGAUUUCGACCCUGUCAAGGUGUUGAACAAACUGAGGAAAUCUUGGCACACAGAAAUCGUGAGCGUUGGAGCAGCCGAGGAUGAUGAUGGCAAGAAAGACGAGGGCAAGAAGGACGAUCAAGUCGCCAAUCUCGUAAAAGCCUAUGAAGCAUACUAUCCUACGCCGGUCACAUAUUACUGCGUGCCCCCAGGAGAGACCCCAAAUUGCGUCAUUUGUUGAAAUUCUUUGCGCUUCCAGACCGAAUCAGGACUUGGUUUGUGCAGCGGAGAGAAUUGAGUAUGUAAGGUUGAUCAUGCCUUACGAAGACAAGAUCAAGUGGAGUACCCUUUCUAGAAUUAUAGGCUUUUAUUGCGUCGUUCGCUACAUGCAUGUGCGUAGGGUGUAUACAUAUAGAGAGAUUGGUUUUCACUUGAGGAACUCAAGUUAUGGAAAAUCCAUUAUGUACUCGAUUUCAGCAUAUGAUUGUUUUCGGUGACUAGAAUAUUAUUAUUCUGAUGAAUUAUAAUAUUCUUGAAAAGAGUACGGUCAGAUACUAAAUGCGAUCCAUGCUUAUGUUUCGUUGACUUAGGAAUUGCUCUGGCAUAUUAUAAAUUCUGGUGACUGGUUAGGUCAAGUGACUUGAGGCAAGCGGCAAACAAGCAGGUUAUACUUGCUGAAAUUACUCGAAAACUUCUUAACCAAACCAAGAUAAGAAAGUGGGACCUAAGACCGUGCAUGCCGAAAAUUGUUGUUGUUUUCUUGCGUUGCUUGCUUAAAUUUGAUCGUGAGUGUGAACCCCGGAUAGGCCAUUUAACUAACCAGUGCCCUUCUUAUCAAUUAAAUGAGAACAAAAAAGACAGCUGUAUUUCACUGCAUCGUUUGGAAGUAUGUGAUGACGUCGCUACAACCCUCAUCAAUGAUUGCUGAUAUGCCUAUAAGUUGAAGGGAAAAGGGACCUUUUAUGACCACUAUUUGCGGACUUGAUGGGCCUGCCACAGGACCGAGGAUGGAUGGCGGGGUGCUCUUUUGUUAAUCUCUGAAGACAUGAUAUAUACUUGUAAAUCAUACCAUCCUAGUUAACAAACUUUAUAAUGGCGAAUCACUCAAUCUUCUCCGAGCUAGUAGUAAUGGAUUUCAUUCACGAGAGUCACAUAUCACAAGCCGAUUGAUCUAGCAUUCUCUUACCCAUAUGGCUUGAGUAAUUUUUUUCCAAGUUAGCAUAUCUCACACACUCACGAAGAUGGUGGAGAGAAAUUCUUUUGGAGAGAGAAUCUCUGAAUUUUAAAUAUUUGUGAGAUGAUCCAAACAAAAGGAGGAGACCUCUUUAUAUACAAGUACUCUUUAGAUAACAACCAUAGAUAUCUCAUCAAUCUAAUGGUGGAAAUUUUAUCUUCCUAUAUACUAACUAUGUGUAUUUAUUAUAGGAACACUUCGGAGUAAUGUACAUUUACAAUAUUGCUCAUCCUAGGAAUAUUCUUGAGAAUACGGAAGAGGAUCGCCCGAUCUUCUAGGAUCAUUCUUGGUCCUUUGUGCACGGGAAACCUUUAGACCAUGAUAUUCUCCUCCACCUAAUCAGGCAAUGCCCUUGUCGCAUUUUUUGCAGGGAAUGCUUCGAUUUGCUUUAUGAAUCAUUAGAGAGCUUCCACAGGCUCCCAUCUAGCUUCACUCUCUAGUAGACCUUUCCAUCAUAUUAAAUAUUCUUGCUUUGGUGCACAAUAUCACUUUCAUUUAACUCAAUCUACCUUGAUGAAAUUGAUUUCACGAUCAUAUGAGGUUUUUUGCUUGAUGAGAUACCCAUUGCGACUCUCCUUGAUCCAGGUCUUCUUCAUCUACAUGAAAAAGUUUAAUCAUACUCAUAUGUAACAUUGGAUGUACCUUUAGUUUUGGUGGGAGCUUUGGUAUAUGCUAUCUUCUCGACUUGUUGCACCACUCAGAGUGGCAAGUUGUAACAAUGGAUCAAUUUCAUAUGCACAUCUCGGUAUCAAAGAAUUAAAUGUAGUUUUGCCUAUGCCAGGUCCUCGACUCGGUACUCUAUAUAUCGUCACUUCUUGUCGAUCCAUUUCUUCAUGUGCGUGGAGACCUUGUGUAGACAAGUCCUUACCAAGUCCACUUGUUUUUACCACUCCUUAGUGAACUUAUAAGUCGAUCGGCUACUCCCUUGAUAGCGUGUUGCAACCCUACUCAAAGUGAGUGGUCACUGCCUCGUCAUGAUCUUGAAGGGACUUUGGUUUGUAGACUCACUUCGCUACAGGUUAUAGGAUUAACUCCUAUAACCGAGCUACAUCGAUCAACUUUGCACAAUCCUCUUGCAUUGUGCUCAUGUCGUGUCUGAAGUACAACUCUAAGGGCACAUGCACUCUCUUUGUCUAACUGUUGAUUUGGAGAUGUAGACUCAUGGAGAAGUUGAGGCUUUGACUCUAGCAGCUUAAAGAGCUUAGUCCAUAAUCGCCUAGUGAAUUGAGGAUUGUGGUUGCUCACAAUUGUUUGCAAUAUGCCCUAAUAUUUGAUGAUGUGCUUUAGGAAUAGCCAAGCCGCCUCCUCAGUUAGGAAGUGCUUUGUUGCUCACACGAAGGUCACGUACCUAAAGAACCGAUCCACUAGGGCCAUGAGAGUUCAAACACCCUUUGGACUUAGGUAAAUUCACAAUGAAAUCCGUGGAGACGCUCUACCAUGGACACUUUAGGAUAGGAAGUGGCUCAUGGGGCCCUGCCAACAACCGUUGUUCGAGCUUGUCUUGUUGGCACACAAGACACAUCCUCACAUAAGUGUCCACAUCGGUGCAUAGGUGUGGCUAAAAGUAAUGAUCCUCCACAAGUGCCAUAAUGCGAUGUAUCCCUAGAUAACCUCUCCACUUAGAAUUAUGGCACUUGCAUAGCACCUCCUUUGUAGCUUUCCAUGAAGCAACACGUAUAGUUGUCGCCCCUUAGAUCUCGCUCACAUUGGAAUUGUCGAGUCUUGCCCUCUCAUGCAUGCUCAAGGAGUGCGUUGGCGGAUGGGUUGUGUCACGGCCCCUCCUUAAUGUGCUUGGUCCAUGGAUAUUCAGGUUGACUAAUGGUUGUUAGCUCCAUCUUUCGGCUAAGUGUGUCGGCCACAAAAUUGGCCUUCUUAGGAUUGUACUGUAGCACGUAGUUGAGCUUCCCAAGGAAGUCUUGUCCAAGCUUGCUUUGGAAUUAGCUUUUUUGGGUUUAUAAGUAGCUCGUGGUAACAUUGUUAGCACUCGCCAUGAACCACGAUUCGAGGAGAUGAUGCUGCCAUGUGCAAAGGCAGUACACCACCACUGCCAUUGCCUUCUCUUGGACCAUGUAUCGCUGUUUGAUCUCAUUUAGAUUUCUUAAUUCAAAUGUCACCGGGUGUCCUUGCAUUAGAACACCACCAAUAGCAUAAUUAGAGGCAUCAAUCUCUACAUCAUAGAGUUUGAGUGGUAAGGCAUCAUGAGCACCGAUUCCUUGGUCAUCACUUGCUUUGGCCAAUUAAAUGCCUUUUGAUAUUGAGCCUUGUUGACCAUGGGCAAGGCCCUUGCUAGAUCCGACGAGGCUUGCCUGAGGUCGGUGAUCUACUGGAGGAAGAAGGAAGGGAAGAGAAAUAUAAUUAAGUCCUGGCCGUCGGUUUAUUAUGAUUUCGAUAUUUAAUGUUUGACUAAAGGAAAAAUAAAAAUGAAAGAUUGGGUAUUUAGAGACUCUUCAUUGAAAAUGACUAAUUUGGAAUAUAUUUUUUAGUAAGUAAUCACUUGAAAUAAUUAGCUAUUGAAAUUUUUUCAUUAUCUAUAAUAAUUUAUAUCCAAACAUUUUCAUGGAUGACGGAAACACUUUUCGUUCAUUCAUUUUUGUAAAUGGUAUAGACGGUAUUCCCUGUUUUAAAAAAUGAUUGCUCGUAUCGUUCACAAAAAAGAAUGAAUAAAAAGUAUUCUUAUUGUUCACAAAAACGUUGAAACAAAAAUUGUUAGUCGAUACGAAAAAUAUCUUUUAUUAGCUAAUUAUUUCAAAUGACAUAAAUAAUCAUUUAUUUAAAAAAUAUUUUUUAAGUUAUUCAUUUCUCGCAAUAUCAAUGCCCACUAAGAUUCAGUCUGAGAUGGAUCUCGAAGAGAGCGGACCACGUUUAUACAAUGAUCGUUCGACCUGCUAAAACGUGGUUUAUCACGGCCCUUCUUUUUGCAUUAGCUGAACGAACCAUCUCUGCCAGCAAUUCUGACCGAUGUGAUGGAUUAUAAUUAAAUAAUAAUUCAUUGACCAAGACUUCGACUUCACGGCCAACGUCCAGGAAACAUAACAAUCCAGAAAGGAACAUUAAUAAAAAGAAAAAAGAAAGGGCCCUUUCACGGACGAUGGAAAUGACGACGAUCACCAUCUCCAACGUAGCAUUUCGACCCGUUCGAGAGGAUGGGAUCGAUCUUGUGCAUGAAACGCGUGCUUUCCUGGAGAUUUCAUGUUUCUCGGCCCUUCGGCUUUUUUCGAUCUUUUCUCAUCUCACGAAUCGCGAUUGAAGAAAAAGCUCCUUUACGCGAGGAGAAGAGUUAUGAUCUUUCUCAUUUUUUGUCAAAAUUUUUUUUAAAAAAAAAUGCCCAGUAAUGGCAUUUCAACAGAGAUGAUGCAAGGAGUGAUGUCUGCUUCGAUUCCUGUCCGAUCGUCCGUCUUUUAUCCCGAUCCUCUCUCCCGUUUAUUUCAAUUUGCCCUCGCGCUGCAAGAUUUUCCUAUCAUAAACUCUUACAGAAUUGAGACGGUAGAGAAUCAAUGAUUGAUCUCAGUGCAUUUUCAAAUGAAAAAAUUAUGGAUUUAGCUUGAAACCUCUAUCGCACAGAUUGUCAAUUUAACUUCGAAUUUUUGCUGAUGAAGUCCUAGAAACUUUGCAUAGGCUUUCCAUGCAGUCCUUCUGAGGCUAGUUUAUUGGAACGUGGUCCAUUCUCCUCAUUGACAUGAUGACGUGGAGGUCCUGCUCCUCGGCAAGCGGGCGGAGUCCAAGGCCACCCUAGGUGGGGUCGUGAGGGAAGCACCCUCAAGUUGCCAAAAGAUUUUUAUAAUUUGAGCAUAUACUUUAUUGGUAGUUUAGGCUUAAAUCCACGAUGAGCAACUAGGUAUAUAUAAUCUCUUUCUUAUACAUUUAAGAGAUACAUGAGAUGUGUCAAUUAUAGUGCAAUCCUUUAUUGGACAAAAUCCUAAUUUAAGAGUAAAGCGGGAUGAGAAUCUUGUGUCUCGAAUUCUUUUUCUUGCUUGUAUGCUUGAUUUCCUUGUGACUGUGCAUCAAAUCCUAACACGAUUGUCACCCAAAAAUCGCUUGGUGACAUUGUGUUUCAAGCAAAGCUGUCCGCAUUGGCGAGCCAUGCGGCGGGACAACAGGCAUGCGAUUUUGGUGGUAUAUUCAUUGGAAAUAUUAAAUUAGAAUUGUGCUUGCGAGAUUUAGGACUACAUCGACGAAGUUGAAAAAUUUAGAACUGCAUAAAUACUCAUACGAUAAAUAAGUUGAGGAUAGCUCCAAUGAUUAUCCCUAUAGAUAAAGAUUUUUCAAUUCUUAUAUUGUCAUUUAGAUUAGAUGGAAGAGAUGCAUACGUGCAAAAUCGCAAUGCAAUUCUAUCUAACGAAAAGCUUGAACCCGCCAACUGCCUGAACUGAGUCAGUUGCCAACAUUCAAGACUCACUGCUUCAAAAGUCACCGAGUCGCGAGGGGCGACUCGACUGAGUCACUUCAAAAGCCCCCGAGUCGUGAGGGGCGACUCGCCUCUCUCCUUCUCUCCUUCUCUCUCUCUCCUUCCUAAAGUGGCGAUCCUCUGUUUUCGAGCGCCUCGACUCGUUAUUUUACUGAGAAACGGGGUGGCUCUUUCCCUCGACUCGUUAUUGUAUUGACUGGUCAAUAAUUUGUCCUUUGUUUUCCGCACCGCGUCCUCCAAGAAAAUUCUCCUCUUAACGCACUCCUCUCAAGCUCGCCACUUUAUAUAAAGCAACCCCUUUCGUCCCCGAUACGUGCACACUCUCAGUUUCAGCUUGCUUCGAGUGUCCUUCGAGUGUUAUUACCUUCCAAAUCAAAAGUUAGAGCAGUCACUCAUCUGAGGUUCUUGAAACCCAAAAGAAAUGAAGGUGAGAUUUCUUGAAAUUCUUCGAAAAGUUCUCUCUUUUCUUGCAUAUUAUGGGUAUCUUGUUCACUUCUGUGAGAUGGGGUUCUAGAUGUUCCUCUCUCCUGGGUUUUCUUGAACACUUCUGUUGGUAUCUCUCGUCUCAAGCUUCAUGAGUUAUCGUUUGCUUCUUUACUGCUGUAAUUUUUUAUCGCAUAGUAUGAUUGUAUCUGUUUAUGUGAAUAAGAAUGCUCGGAAUACCGAAUGAUGCUUCGAAUUCUUAUUCGUUGUUGGUUUAUGUGGCCAACUUGCUUAAACGCUAGUCUGUCGCACCACUCGUGAAUGCUGAGUUCGGUCGUCCUCGUGAGAGAUUGAUAUUUACUCAAAGUCUAACUGAGUUUUGCUUUCCUCAAACUUUUGCAGAAG
rnacentral:lncRNA from 1 species